GUCAGUUUCUUCCGAUCUAGUAUCUGUUUCUUCCAAUCCAGUUUCUUCUCCAGCUGCUGAUGCAGAUUAUGGGCAUUCGGCUGAGGCUUCCAUAUUAGAUUCCACUUAUUUACUUAGCGCUUCAGAACCCCUGCUUGUUUCAAGAGGCUCAAUAUAAAGAAUCCAAGCUUGUUAGCCAGAGGCGAGGGAGAGGUCAAUUCUUGCUUUUGAGUUUCACUAGGCCAAGGUGAGUAUUGAUAUUGAUCUGUAUUUGCAGGAGCAGGCCCAGACUCAGUGUUAACGGGAGAGUUGCCUUACUUAUAUUACGCCAGUUCUUUACCCCUAUGAGAGAUGAGAGCCGAAUGAAGUUAAUAGUUGACAGCUUAGCUUGUUGAAAGAAGUAGGCGUGGUAGUCCUGUUCGAGUAGUUUCAUCUGUAGUUGGUGAAUACCGAGUGUCAUCCCAAACUAGUAGUAGUCCCGACCCGACCUCUCAACUGAAAGUCUAUAUUUGCUAUCCAAAAUCCCGGGUUUCUUAAAAAAGAUCAUUGGAUUGGAUCGGUUCAGGAGGCAAAACUCGUUUGCUACCUUUUUUCCCGGGAAAACGCAAAAGUGGAGGAUCAAUCUUAUGGUUUAGGAGGGAAAUUCUAUUUGCUAUGAAAAAACACGGGAAAACACAUCUUUGACCCCGCCGCUACACACUAGUAGUUACUUGGCUCAUAGCAAAGCAGACUUCACUGGGGUAGCUGGACUGAGCCCCGGUAGUUAAAGAACCAAACCAGUCAAUCCUUAACUCGCUACCGCGUCACAUUAGUAGUGCCUUGGUGAAUUAGACCUAAGUAGUAGAGAGGGGAGCCUGUAGCAAGUGGGUCUCUUCUUUGGGGUCGAGUAACUAAGAUAUCGAAUAGGGUAUUUCAAAACUUCUAUUUCAUGAGUGGUUUCAUCCCGAGCUGCAGAAGUGGAAUACGUUGUUUCAUCUCAAAGGGGAGUUAAAGAAUCCCGCAGUAGCAAGUGGUAGUCCUGUGGAAUCAGAGGUUUAGUCCAGUAGUAGAGUAGUUAAGAGCUUCUUUGGAGCAAGUAGUUUCGUAGUUUCAUCAGUAGUAAUAGCAAAGCCAGAGCCUGUACCAAGCACACUAGCUUAUGUAGUUCCUGCUCUAGCUUAUGUAGUGACUAGGCGUCUUGUCUAUCCGUUACUUGGCUCAUAGCAAUUCCAGUCUUGGUCUUGUUCCAGAAAUAGACCCAUAGCUCCAUCCUCUUUUUCUUAUUGAAAGAAGUAACAGUCCGGGUUGGGAGUAGUAAAGGGAGUUUGUAGAGGUGUGUCCUCUUAACGAGGGAAGUUCAAGAUGUAUUCUCAUCAGAGGAGUUCCCGAGUUCGUUAUGUUCGGGUCCGCUUGUAAGGCUAAGGUUCACUUGGCCGAGUUUCAUCUGUGUCUGCAACUCUGGAAUCAGAGGUUAAGUCGAACCAUAAAGAGAUGUUAGGAUCAAAUGCACUAUCACAGCCUGAAAGUACCAACAUAGGGAAUUAGCCUGCCAUAAAUAAGAGGUGUUUCCCCUGAGAUGAUCUGGUCCAGAGGAAAAGAGUACUGGGUUGGUUCAACCCGGGUAAUGAUGAGUUGCUUGGUAAUGAUGAGUUGCCUUAGGGGAGGUAAGCGCGGGAGCUAGCGAGUUUAGUCUAGGUUGCGAGUCAACGUUUUCGUAUAAGAAGAUCCAGAUUCGAAAUAAUUGAUAUUGGAAUGUUCUUAUACAGUAGUGUCGGUAGAGUGGACAAGUCCUGUCACUUAUAUAUCUGCCCCGCUUCCCUUGAUGGUUUCCUUGCUGGUUGAAUUUCAUUGAAUCUCUCUUGCACCAACAAGCAACUCGGAGUGCUUUGCUUCCAUUCUGACUUCAAGUAAGAAGCCCUUGUUUCAUCUUCUGAACGAAACUACAAGGAAAGCCACAUACAACCUUUUCCUCAAGUAAAGUACUAUCGAUCGAUGCCGCCUUUGCAAUACUCUAAGAAAAGCAAUCGAAUAGAAGUCUCUUUGUUCCCGUACUUGUUGAGUAAGGAGUAAGCUUAGCAGUGCGUGCGGUUGGUUUCAAGGUGUUUUUGUAGGCAGUAGCUCCUCCAACUAGUCUAGUCUACUAUAGAGGUUAUUGGCUACGCGGUGCUUGUUAAGUAAACUCGAGAAGAAGAGGUGAAAGUAUCCAGAAUCCUUAUUAUAAGAAAAAGCCAUAAAUUGGAUAAAUAAGGGAGUUUACGAAUAAUUCUUUGUUUGACUUUGACUUGGUGCUCGAUAAGAAAUGAAGUAUUGAUUAACUGGCACUACAGCUCGAAGUCCAGUGUUUGAGGUUAAGUAGAAAGUCAGGGUAGGGCUAAGGGAAGAAGCUUAAGAAGCAGUUUCAAGAUCAGUUGCCGAAGCCGAAUCUCCUCUUACAGAAGAAUGCCCAGCUUAAGCAGUGGGUGUGAGUGUUGCCUAGGAAAGGUGUUUACAAAAGUCAGGGUAUCGAGUCCGGGUUCCGGGCAAUCAGGCAGGCAAUAGCAAUAAUAGUCUAGAACCCCUAAAACCAGGGUCAACUAAUCAAAUGGCUAAUCUAUUGGAGUAGCAGGCUAGGCAGGUUAGGAAGCAGUGCGCAAGCAAGUACAAAUAUUACAGCAAGUUCAGUUGAGUCUUAGUCCAUUUAUUUAUUGUUGAAUCAUAUCUUAGAUAAUUGCUUAUUUGUCUUUAAUAAGUGAAAGUAUUCGAAUUGUAUAUCUGUGUUAAGGAUUAGAAUCCCGCUUCCUUAUUGUUUACAGUGUUUCUAUAUGAUGACACUAGUAUUCUAUUUGAUAAGGAUCUGUUGCAACAUAAGGAUAAGGAUAAUAAACAAGAUAAGGAUCAUCAGAAGAUCUCGGAUCAACUGCUGAAGCUAUACUAGCUAACGGAACUAAUCUACCUAUUACUGCUGCUGCUGACACAAACUCUCUCACUAGCGCACCCGCUCCAUACUCCACUUUAACAAUAGGGCGGGGACCCUAAAUGGAAUUGAAAUAAGUCGCACAACAUUAUAGAACCAAGUAACGAAACAAACACCCUUAUUAAGUGCCUAAGUAGGUCCAGACUUAUCUUACCAACAUACCUUUGGAAGCUAAUGCUGUGGGAGUGAAGUCUACUAUCAUUGGUGCUCGAGAGAUUCAAUUAAAGGAAGCAGCAAGAACAAGUAAAGUGACAGCGUCUGCAAGUGAGGUUUAGUUCGAGGAAGAAUCCCAUCUCAAGUCAGCAGUUAGAUCAGUUCCUGUUAUAGUGCCCGUUGUUGGUGACGAGUAUCUUUGUGAAUGAGUUUUCUGUUUCUUUGUUGACGACGAGCGGGAGAGCAAUCUUUCAUGACAAAAUGCCGUAAGCCUGACAGAGGGCAAAGGGACACAUUUGAUUAGUGGAACAGGGGUGAAACUUAGCUAAAAGAAACAAAAGGGCUAUGUCUCGUCUCUGGGGAGUGGUCCAAGCAUUAAUUCCGUGGCGCUGGAUGGAGCUCCGCGUUCCCUAAACCCCUUUAGUAUAGAGUAUAAUAGGUAACAUAACCAUCAAAUCCAAUAAGUUAUGAAAUAGUUCAUUUGACACCGCUCUAUUCCUAUGGCAAAUUACUCAUUGAAACUAAGAAACUGGUGUGGUGCCUAGGACUUAAUAUAAGGGCCACUAAGAAAGUUAUUGCUCUGGACUCAGGACUACUCUACCGGUUGGGCAAGAAGUCAAGGAACACGUACGCGGAGACAAUAAGGCUUAACCAAAGAAGUAGAUGAUCCGAUCUUUUCUUCAAUGCUUACCAGGUGCCGGUAUCCUAACUCAGGUGCUAUAGUGUAACAUACCUCUUUAACUCCUAGCUCUGGUAUUCCUACUUGUGAGUGGAAGUAUAAAGAUAGGUUGGUACUUACUUGGCCCGGAGAGUUAUUGUGGAAGAAGAAAGUACUGGUGGCAGAGCAAGCUAAUUCCAUGACUGUUUUCGGGGGAGUAAAGUUUCCAGUGUGUUGGAGAUGAGUCCCCUUCCGCCCUUAACCCUUACCUUACUUGAUACUUAAUUAGGCUAAACUUUCACUCCAUUCUUUGGACCACACCUAGCUUCAGCAGAUGGGCAUUCUUUAUUCCAUUCUGAAAUUCUACCUUAUAACAGAACUUGCGCAGAGUAAACUCAAUUCUGAAACGUUAACUUUAGGGAAAGAGUACUAGGUUAGUGACAUCUUCUAUCUCUUAAGGCAGAGAAGCGGUAAGUAAACUCCAUUCUGGUAUUCUCACUUUUGAGAAAGAGCACUAGGUAGGUUAGUGACCAAUAUCUAUAACACAGAGCAAAAUCCUCUUCGAUGGUUUUCUACCUUCAUAGCAAAAUCCUAUUGUCGGCUUGUCUUAUAGCUCAGCAGAUAUAUAAGUAUUCCCCCGGAAUUACUGUAUUUCCAUCUCUACAGUUUGAAGUCAUAAUUCAGUGUGAGUUGCCUGAGUCGAGGUAGGCAAGAGAACCAGUUAAGUCUUAAGUAGAGGCCAGGCCGGUAACUCACCUACUAAGGGAUGAGAUGGAAAGGUAUGGUUGCACAGGACUUGGUUUAUUACUUACUAUGUGUUUUAAGAAUCAAGUUAGAUGAGAAAGCAUCUUGUUUAGAUGAGCCAGAGUGGAGGUCUCAAGGGAAGCAAUGAAAGCUAUCCGGUCUAAUGAAACCAGAAAACAAUCAAUUAGAAAUCACAAAUAAUCUAGAGCCAAGCACCGACAGUCAGGCCUCAAUUCUAGUGCUCGUGCUCCUUCCUUUAAGAAUAUAGUUUACUUACCAACAGGACUACCAGGGGCAGGCAACCACUGAGGAAUUGCAUUUGGAGCCUAUACAAAGGGAAAGGGGUUCGGGGAAGUAAAGAGCAUAGAGAGCUAGAGGGUUAACAAACAACUGAACAAUCAACGAAACCAGCAAGAUCCAUAGAGCAGGAACAGCCCUUAAGUGAAUUGCAUUGUCUGCAAGAUCAUUCUAUUUCUUGGCAUCCUCAUCCUUAACUUAACUACUACAGGAUGCGGGUAAGUUUCAAUCAAGUAAGAGGCUUUGUCUAGUGAAUCUCGCUUAGUGGAUCUCGCCUAGUAUAGCCUUAACUUAACCAAGAUGUGUGCGAUCAAGAAAAGGGGUAUAAUAUCCUGCUUGUCUAUUUAUUGAAGUGUGAGUUGCGCUAACUUCAAGUUGGAGUUGCGCUCUAACCUAACUGAGUCUUUCUUAAUCAUCGGGGCAUUAGGGAGUUCUGGGUGCCGACAUCAAUCUUCUAUUCUACGGGAACACGCAAGGUUGAGUUGAGCUGAUUGGUUACCGCCAAUUCCGUUUUAGGGGGCUCCGUUUCACAUGGGUAUUACCACGAGACUAGAAUAGAAUGGCCUUAUUGACUUGACUUUAUUAUUGCCUUCUUCAGCGCCCAGCCCUUUGACUUAGUUUGACCCCUUUGUUAUCUCACUAACGCUAUUGGGCCUUUCGUGGAAUAAUGGAAGUGUUACCUUAUUCUAUAGGAACGUAAAAUCACUGCUUACUGCAGGCUCUGCUCUACCUAACAAAACAGCUCAAACCCAUAAGUUAACGCGCAAUGCUUUCUGCUAACGCACAAUGGCUUGUUGCUUUUUGAAUCGAAUUUGAAUGAAUAGAAGAAUAAGUAACAUACGAUAGAAAUCUUGAAACUAACAGCUUACUCCUUACUCUCCUCCUAUCCGGACAGCGGACUCUUAAGCAAAGCAAUAGGUACCUCCUGACCUUAGAUUGUACUUCUAUAUUUGCCAUGAUUUGAGAAAUAGUCGAAAUACCAAGAAAAUCCUCUUCCUAUUGAAUGAAUGCAAACGAAAAUACAUUGAUCCUCGUUUUCCCUCGCCCUGUGUUAGCUGUCCCAUAGGCUUUAAUAGCUUCUCCCAGUUCGAGUUCCUGCUGCUUGUGCUCUGGCUCGAAGGUUCCCGCGGAAAGAGUCAGUAUCGUACUAUCCGUUCACACUAGCAUACGUAGGUCAGUAUCAGCUUGCUUGUGUGAGUUCUUUUCGGGAGUGUUUCAUUAAUGGCAUAUUCAGAGCUGUCUCAGUUGCCGUUAAGGAUCAUAGCUCCUCUUCUCUCGUUAAACCCCAGUUUUUCUUCUUCUUGCCUUAGAGGUAUUCUUCUCCUUUUGGCUUCAUCAGAGUUCUCCCCUUCAUCGCCUACGCUUGUAGCUUCUGGAACUCUACCCUAACUUUCGAUCUACCCCUUCCCUUUAGAAUAUGCACACAUAACACAUAUGUGGGAGAUGCACCUUAUUAACAGCAGAAGAAUGGGAACCUUAUCUUUCAGAGAAGAAGAAUGGAAUGGAGUGGCCCCUAGGAGCAGCGCUCAAGAAUCUCCGUGAAUGGCACCGAGGAGCAGCGCUCAAGAAUCUCAUUGAGUCACAGCACAGUUAGAGAAAUAGAAACUUCGCCGUUGUUGCUUGUUCGCAUAUUAUGGAUGGUCGUUAGUAAAAAGCUUAUUCCUUCCCUUUGGCUUCUAACGCGCUGACUUUCUUAUAUGUUGUUUCUUAUAUGUUGACUUGUUUUAUUAAUACUCGAAAGAAGGACCGCCCUAUACAAUGGUACUGUACUUGACUGAAUUCUUGCCCGGCGCCACAGAAAGAAAUAGGCGUUAGCGCAACUCCCUAAAGCGCUUAACGUUGUUUGUUCCCCGCCCGAACACAUAAUGCUUGCUCGAAUUCCAGUUUUCGCCUCCCUCUCGCCAACCUCGUUAUUUUUCCUUAUAGAUAAAAAACACUUUAUGCCUAGACCCAUCAUAUUUACAAGCAGUAGUAGGUCCGACGCUUAGUAAUAGAAUUGUUGAUACAGAAACCCUUGCUUGUUGAGUUAAGUGAGUAGAGAUUCUUUCUUAUCAAUUGAAGUAAUUAAGGCACUUGUGGAAAUUCCUGUGUUACAGUAGCUACAGGCUAAUACUCUAGCGUGGGCAUACCGAUUUUACACAUAGGAGAGAUAGACUAACAAUAGUACGGCAUGGAAGAGCAAUAAUAGACAGUAGGGGAAGGCACAUAGGCAGAAGCGAGGUUCGGGGUCAACAGUAGAAUCAUCUAAGACAAAAUACAGGUGGAAAGGCAGGCUUGUUAGUCAGUAGGGGCAGGAUAAUAGAAGGUCUAGUCAGAAUAAGAGAUCUAGAUAUCGUAUUUGAAUAAAGGGAGGGGGACUGAUCUACGGGAAAGGUAGAGUGAAACACGGGAUAAGUAAUCAAACAAGUCAAUCUAAUACUUUACCCAAGGGGAACAGGACAGACCGAUAGCCGUUAUAGUCAGAAUGCGGUAGGAUAAGUCGGGUUGAAGCAAACACAAGUAAGUUGGGCUUGGAAGUUAAUGAAGUGAGGCUCGGCUACUGGUGAGUUAGGCUUGGGUAGUUAAGUUCCAUUCCGAUUUCCACUAUUUCACUUCUGAGUUUGUAUGCGCUGGAUCAGCGUAUCUAUUCUCUUAUCCUAACAUAUAAUAGUAGAAUGUCCUUCCUACAGCUAUUUCUGAUCUCAAAUCUUUAUUUCACUUACCCUUCCUUUAUACGAUGAAACUAAGGUCGAGCCAAUCAAUCACCUGAACCCUGCCAAUAACUCUAACUAAUGACUCGAGCUCCGCCAAGCAACUACGGCUGGGUAAGAGAAGGAGUGAACCUUUCAUAUAAGUAAUGGCAAGCUGCUUGAAUCUAAGGGAAAGCUACUACGGCUGCAAGGCAAGCUUAGGGAUGAGCCUAGACUUAUGGAAUCCGCCCAGCUCCAAGCCUAUUUCAAUUGUGACUGUAGUGGUUAGUUACUUAUUCUAUUAUGCCUCUCUGCGUCUAAUGAUUGUGUUUAUUCCCGGGAAUUGGUACCUCGAUCAGGCUUAUCAAGAAGAUAGAGUCAAAGGCUAAGGCUUAACCGAGCCGAGUAGAGAUCCAGUCCAAGCAUAAAAGAAAAUGAAGUCAGUCAGCAGCAAGCUGUUCUGAAACUAGAGUUCGGGCAAGAUAAGGAAUUCCUCACUGAAAGGUAAAGGAGAGAAGUCGGGUGCUUGUGUUAAGAAAGUAGUCAAUCGAGAACCUUUGCCCGGCUUGCCUGAUAGCCAAUAGUAUAGGAAUAAUCAAUUACCAAGUCCAGUGCCCGUGCCCUUGAUUAAUGCCCUAAAGAUAUAGGCACUAAAUGAAUUUCUUGAACAGGGAAGAGAAGAUGAUAGGUCAUUUCCCAUAAAACAACUAUAGUGUUGAAAUAGUGCAUUUGAACCUAACAUCUUGAUGGUUCCUUGCUUUAUAACCAAGUCCUUUGUAUUGGGCGUAAGAAAGAGGAAUUACUGAAUUUCACUAAGUAGUCAAAGAGACAAGAGAAUCAGUAGUUGUAAGAGAGGAUGUAGAUCCGGGUAACUAACCAUGGGCUCUAAACUUCAAAUAUCAGAAUGAAACUAGAGCGACUCUCUCCCGUAGUAGAAACCAUCCCUUUCAAACAAAGAAUGCAACUCACAAAUAGGAGAACUCAACUCUCAAGUCAGUAUAAUCAUAAGACGAGCACGAGCACUGGAGUUAGAGCCGGAGUUAUAGGAUAAGAAUGAAGUGACUAAGGAGCCAGCAAGCUCAGAAGUCGGAAAGGAAGGGUGGUUAGAGACCUUCCUAGGAAUAAGGAAUUUCAGAAUGAAACCAGUGAGUAACAGAAUGAGACCGGGUAGACUCAGACUGAACCAAGUAAGUAAGCAAAAGGGAAGCAGUGCCAGGAAAGCAGUCCGCAGUGAGAGUUUCGGUUGGAAAUGAAUAAAGUACUUGCUUUGAUGCGAGGCGAUAGUAGCAACAGUAGGAGUGAGUUUAGAUAGUAGCAACAGUAGUAGUGAGUGAAAAAGUGAACUAUACUAAAGAAUGAGUUGCGCUUGUAAAGUAUACUUGUUCAGGUAAAGAAGUCAGACUUAGCGGGACCAAAAACCUCUUCCCCAAUAAUAACUAUUUCUAUACAAUACCCUGAUCCUGCUUAAGAUCCUGUUGCCAAUGCCAUUAACUUAAGGGCUGCUUGUAAACUAAUACUUAAUUGGAUCUUUCUUGCUCCCGUUAGCGAGUUGAUCUUGAGUUGCCUGUCCCCGAGACUUCUAUUGAUACUUCUCCUACUCCGGACAUACACUUGCUUCUGGUUCAAAGCCUGUCUUAUUACUUUCACCGGAUAGAUUCUUUUCCUUCACUUUACUUUCGAACAUCAUUUCCUAGCACAGAUCCUGAUCCUUAUUUAGCCGACCCGACCUAUCCUUUUCUUUGUUUAGGGUGCUGCUUACGCUCUUUGUACUUGAUCUAGUAUAUGCUUGGUUUGGGCUUUCAAAGUAGUUUCGUGGAGUUCGGUGCUAUAGUAGAAUCCCGGUAGUACUGUUCGAGUUAAGUUCUAGCCUGAAUCCCUAGUUUCCAGUGAGGGUCUUGUUGGGCAGAAGAUGGAUCAAAAGAUAGAGAUGAAAUUCAAAGAGGAGAGUGAGAAACACCCUGGACUACUCCGCAUAUAGUAAUAGAACUAUCAUACCUAGCUAAUUCUACUACUCCGAGACUCAUUAAUAAGAAGAGAGGCCAAGCAACAAUAGUAGUCAAGAGGAAAGAAAAGAAAGGAGCGCAGAGGAAGGGGCGAGGAAACUCAGAGCAGAGAAGGAAAGCGCACGGGAAGAGGAAGCAGCAAACUCAGGCGCUUGGAACGUAAAGCAGUAAACAUUGGUUUAGGGAGAAUUCACCGUAAAGCUAUCAUCAGCAAAAGAGUGAAGCGGGAAGAAGUAGGUUUCAUAUAUAAGGAAAAGAGAGAAAUUGCGAGAGAAAGCAAGCUAGAAUACUCAAUAAGUUUGCAGCGGUUUGUCAGGUUCGUUUAGCUAUUAGCAAGUGUGAAGUCUGUCUCAAGAAGCAACGAGGAAUCCACUUUGAUUUCAAUUGUUCAGUACGAAAAAAAGGGAGACCCCCGCGUGGGAAAGUUUCUUAGUGACAUUUGUAAAUGAAUAGCAAAGAUACCAACAAUAAUGUCCCUACCACAUAGUGUUGUUGUAAAGGUGGCAAAGAGAUCUCCGCAGCGAGAGGCAGCACGGUAUUUGUUCCUUUUGAGAGUCUGUCUCCCUUUGGUAAAAUAGGGUUGGCCAGAUAGAGAGAGGGACCGAGCGCCCGAAAGAGAGGGACCCGGACACAGGACUUCCCGCUGUGCUUACUUUCUCUCUACAGCAGAAAAUCGACUUGCUCUUCAUCUUGGCACUCGUAAACAAGACUUGCUCUUCACUCGGGUUUCUUGCUUAGCUCUUGUAAUUCCACUUGUAAGUAUAAGGCAUUUGGCAAUAAUUGAAUGAAAAGAUGCUAGUAAACAGGUGAACUCAGGAAUAGUGCUCCUAUCCAGCCUUUCAGAAUGCGGACUCUGUGGAUGCUGACUUAGCGGUUGCUUGAGAUGAGAUGAGAGCCUGAGAUGAGGUCGGCAGGAGCUAUGGCCAAGUCCUGUCUUCGUAGAUGUUUUCGUACGAAGUUAUUACAAUAUAUGUUUUCGAUGGCAAACUCAUAGGUGAAAUAAACACUUAGUUCUAUCUGUAGGAGCGCUAGUUUGAAACCAAGGAAUAGAAGAAUCGAGGUUUAACAUGCAUAAUGGAAUUAAUGUAACAUAAGUGUAAGCCUAGAGGCAGGGACGUAAGAAGGAUCGACAUACUUAAUAAUAGGAACAUAGGAUCCGGGUAUCUAUUGCGAGUGUUGCUAUCAGCGGGGUCAUUCCAAGUUGCUUGUUUCUUCUUUAGUUCCCCAGGAAUACAGCCUCGCUUUAGCUAAUUGAGUUCUUGUUAUCCGUGUUUGGAUUCCCUAUUUCUAUAGGUUGGUUCUGUAUAGUAGUAGAUGGAUUCCUCUUUCUGUCCUUAGUUGGCUUCUCAGUUGAAAGUCUUAAUCAAAGGGGCGUAGUUGGAGACUUCAAGCAAGGUGGGUGAGACUUAGAUGAAGUAGUAGCGGACCUCUUACCUUUUAUUAGAACUAGUAGACAGUAGAGUAAGCCUGAGCAGUGUGGUUAAGUAGGGUAAGCAUUGGUUCCAUUCCCAGUUUUCAGGUGGUUUAGUUAUAAUGUCUCUUGUUGCAGUGUCUCGCUUUUGAUAGUGGAGUUCUUUAGCUCCGUUUUCAUUAUUACCGGUAAUAGCAGCACAAUAAGAUAAAGCACAGUCUCAGUUUGGGAUAAAGCAGUGCCAGACCAGACCGAUGGAAGGGCUGUUUGGUGGAGUCAGGGUAGUAAGCCUAGUGGGCGGGAGCCGCAGGCUGAGAUAAAGCAAAGCAAGGUUUUACGUCAUUAGCGGAAGAGUUAGCUUAGGGCAUACGCCUUGUUAACAAUAGGGAGAUUCUAGCGGGAGUCCACAACAAACAAAGACUUCUAUUUAAGAGUUGGAGACACGGAAGGCAGCUAACGAAUAUCCGUUUUAGAGCUAGGAUUGAUUACCAGAAAUAGAGUUAGGAGUACCGAGUGAGAUAAAGGGCCAAGCAACAGUACUAGACUUCGGUCAAUCGGUGGUCUAGUUCCAUUCCUUUACUUAAUAGUUCCAUUCCUUAUUCUUAGGUUGGACUAGUUCAUUCGUCGACUUCCGUACUUAUAGCUUCCUAGCCCAGCUGCUUCUCUCGUAGACCUAAAUCCACUCCCUUACCUUACACAGGACUUGGACCACUACUUGGGACUGUAAACUGGGGCUGUAAACCUAGCUCCUGCUUAUAUCUCUAACCUAACCUAUAUCCUAAUUCUGUUUCUUCGGGUUUCCUAUAUAUAGAGAAAUACGGAAUUUAGGAGUGGACAUGCGGACUGAGGUGAUAGAUUGACUACUUGCUUAACACAAGCACCCGACCUAUACAUUACUUCUAAGCCAACUACUACUGAUUCACAACAGGACUACUAUACUUAAUGAGCACUUCCACUAUCACUCGAGCAGGACUACCCGGGAUUUUGGAUAGCAAAUGGAGAAUCUCUCCUCGGAUCUAGCCUCUGAUCUUGCUCUUCUAACUCUCCCUAGCUACGAACCUAGACAAUUAAGUCAAACUUGAAACUACACUUUCUACUUUCCCUCGCCCUGGAAAUCUAUCUACUUAAGGACUGACUGCUGAAGAUACUGAUGUCUCAACUCGCCCCCCCAAGAGACUCCUACCACUUAGUGACCGCAACUCUGGCUCUUCUCACUACAAACCCUUACUUAUUAAAGCUGCUUGUACCGGUCCCAUAUUCUCGAUUGACUCAUCGCUUCCCACAAGCAAACUUACAAUAAGGGCCUCUCCUCUGGACUAGCUUGCCUACCUCAACUCUCAAGUCAGAGUUUAACUCACACCUAGGAAUACGGAAUUACAGAAUUGCACUAAGUAGUCAAAUCCAUCUCUUUGAACUCUUCUUAUCUUCAGCGGAGUGCUUUAAGCUGUUGUUCAGUCUGGAAUAGAUGUGUUUGACUCCUAUCUUUGAUUUUCUUAUUCAUGUGAAUGGAAUCCCAGUCCUACACAAGAAGAAAGGCCUUGGCUCUUUAAAGUCAGGCGUUAGAUACUUGUUUUCUAUGUGAAGUAAGUACGCUUGUAUGAUAACGAUACCAAAAAGAAGAGUUCCCGGCCCAGCAACUAGGCCUUGGCCGCUCUAUCAGUUUCCUUUCCUUACAACACUGGCACACAAAGGGAUUCUUCUUAUAGUAGCCUGUUUUUCAUUGAGUGUCAUUCUUAUGAGAUAUAGGUUACGGUGCAUUCUUAUAAGAUAUAGAUAGGCCAGGGGACAGCCCAUAAUUAGAGUGCUAUGUCUUUACUGGAUUUCUUUAUAAAUAAUAAAUAUAAGAUUCCUUUCUUAACCCCGCAAAGUCAGUAAACCACCCAUCUUAAUCAUAUAGACCAAGUAAGUAAGUAAGUAAAGGAUAGUUAGUAUAAGUAUGAGUAUCCUUAGCAACCGUAGUUCUCAUAUGACCAAUUACCAGAGUAAGAGUUUACCUCCCUCUUUGCCCAGCCUCAUAAGGAUCUGGAUCCCAGUCCUGUUUCCGCUACUCUGACUUCCCUUUCCACUCCCCUUAUAUACAAGUUCUAGGAAAACCCAUCUAAAUUCUAUCUUUGAAUAUAAUAUAACUGAUUCAACCUUACUCCUAGAGAUCCUGGACUCUGCAACUUACAAUAAGGGCCGAAGAAGUUGAUACCUUCUUUACCUACCCGUGCCUCUACCUACUCCUCUAGACUAUCUUCUUGCCACAACUCGUGUAUACUCGGUUAAGCCUUACCUCUGUCAACUAACUACUACUGAGAAAACAGCUGACCUUGCAGACCUCCUAAACAGCUUCCCUAAGGCUUAUCAACUAGAUCCAUCCCUUAUGCAAACCUAUAUUUGCCGUAAGCCGCUAGUGCUCUGUAAACUCACACUGAUUCCUCUGUCCACUACUACUUAUUCACAACUGGUUUCACUCUUGCCCUGACUGGUUGCAUUGUUUGACUACUGAGUUUCACUCUUUAAUGAGUUAGCUCAAUUCUAACUUCCCUAAUAGCUGACCUCUGAGUGGAAUUCUGAUCUGAGCAGCUAUAGCAGCAGCUGCAUUCUCUGUUGUACGAGUUUCAGUCUGAUUGUUAGGCUUACUACCCCUACUUUAGCACUGGAACUGGGGCAGCAGACUUAACUCGAGUCAUCGAAACCCUUGUUUUUUCAUAGCACCCCCGUUUUCCCUACAAGAUCACCCAAAAUGACUUCUUUUUUGAUGAAACCCCGGGCCAAGCAACUUCUAACGUUGCGCUAAGGAGCUACUCCAUUCCCACUCCGAUCCGACCUAAACUAUGGCUCUGUACUUUUGAUAAAGAUUCUAUUGAACACUUAGAAAUCACAGAAUUCACUGACCAUUGAUUAUAGUGCGCACUACCUUCGUAUACUGAUCUUUCAAGCUCUAAUUCCCCUUUCGCAUUAAGUACUUACGACUUUGUCGACUUUGCCAGGUAAGGUUAGCCAGGUCAGCGGGGUAUAACUGUAAACUCUAUUUUCUUCAGUGGUUUCAUAUAUAAAGAGAGUCCAAGUUAUCCGCCAAGGAACAUAGUAAGUGUAGUGGCAGUCCCUUCAGUUCUCCUAUAUAAGGUUCUCUUGAGGUUCCUCUACUUAGUCAGUACAUGGGUUUCAAAACGACUUUUCUGGCACUGAUAGCGGCCCUGCCGCGACACCGAACACAUAGGGAGUAAGAGAGCAACCAAAACCCCGAACAUAGGAGCGGCCCUGCCGCGACACCGAACACAGGACUUAUUCUUAACUGGCUAUAACUACUUAUUUGUCCUACUGCCGCACAACGGCGUAGCCGUUGCUUGCCUAUCCGUGUCUUGGCUGUGUUUUUUCUUAUUCUAGUUGAGUUUGAGGCCUUGGCGUCUAGUAGUUGCUUGGCCCCUUAGCUGCAGAGGUUAUACAACUAGUUGAAAGCCCCUCCGCCUCUACUUUGCUUUCUUUUGAUAAUGCUUUCUGCCUCUACUUUCUUUCUUUUGAUAAUGCUUUCUGCCUCUACUUUCUCUCAGUAUAUCUCUCCUAGCUAUAACACAAUACCAACCCUUGCUUUGAUUCCAUAGCUGGAGCUCGGGCCUUACACUCCCUUCUAUUAGUCUAGUCCGCUAUUCUCUUCUCUUACUCUGCAUUUCCCGGCUAUAAUUCAUUACUUGUAGGUUAGAUCGCUAGGCUCACAUGAGUUAGUUUGAGUUUGGGUCUGCCUCUCUUUUCUUUGAUUCUUCUAUUGCUACCAAUGCAAUCAAUAAGAAUUUCACCUAUGCUUCUAAUCCUUUAACUAAUAACUUGGAAUUCCGUUAGUACUGAUUAUACUAUAGCUAUUGCCAAUAAGAAAGCCACAAAUGUCUCUCGCUCUCCAAUAACGGAUCUGGAUUCCUGCUUUGUUAUUUUGACUCUUAUGCUAAGACAGUUAGCCUGCGACUACUCAACCUAAGGCUACCUUUCCUAGAUCUCAUUCUGACUAUCCUCGCUUUCAUGCUUAACGACUGACUUGCAUUCCGUAGCUACUGAUGGGGCAAACCUAGCUAUGAAACUCAAACCUUUCCUUUGACUACUGAGCUUCAACCUUACUAUCUUAUCCGUCAUUCUAACUACAACUUCUAUCGACCUACCCCGAGUCCACUGGUUGCAUUCCCAAAUUACGGAGGGAAAUUCUGUCUAGUACCAAGGCUUACUACCACUAGCUGCGGUCCCAUACUUAAAAGCUCCAUUCUAUAACUUAGCAGCUCCAUUCCGAGAUGCACUAGUUCCAUUCCUUAAGCUAGUAUCACUGGUUGAAUUCCUAGUUCCAUCCCCUUACUUGCUGGUUCAAUUCUGUAACUCCCUGGGUUCAUCCUUGCACUUACUAGCUCCACUCUUUAACUCUAGCUCCACUGAUCUAACAGGCUUCUACAAAACACAUAGCAAGUAGGCACCACAUCAGGCUUGGGAGCAGCGGUUUGAGUCUUUGAUUCAUUGGUUUCAGCCUGGUCGUUUACUGGUUCAUUCUUAAACUACUUGGUUUCGUUCUAUCACCUACUAUAGGUGCAUUCCGAGUGACACUGGCUUGGUUCUGAGUCUACCCGGCAUCAGUCCCAUACUAGCUACCACUGGUUGAAGUCUGCUCCCACGGGGGCCAACUUCCAUUCUGAUAGGUGUGAGUUUCUGUCUUAGUAAUAGUAGUGGGAGUCUUGCUAGCACUGGUUGUAGCCACCAAGCAACUACUAAUGACCAAGCCGAUCUAGGCGGCCAAGUAACUACUAAUGUUACGCGGCAGCCAAUAAACAGUCAUAACGAAGUUAGUACAAUAGAUGCUUUCGGGAGUUGAGCUAAACGGUAGCGAGCUGUUCCUCACUAGGUCAAUUCUGCCUAGCUCACCUCUGAGUUGUGUGACUCACUACUAGCUGCCUCUUGCUUCUAAUCCUCAUUUGGAUUGAUACUUUUCUUUACCCGCUCCUGCUUCAACACUCGAUCGCCCUACUGCUGAAGAUCCUUAUGAUUACUCUCCCCCCUGGCUAUUGAAUCUGUAAAAUCCCUGGAACAUCUGGGCGAAGCAGACAAGCCGACAAGUAAGCAAGUAACGACUACUAAGACAUAGCAAGUAGGCAAGCAUAUACUAGAGCAAGAAAGAAGCUAAGUCAACUCACCCCACUCCUGUUCGUUUGAUACCUGAAUAGAAGUGUGUUUCAAUAGAGUCUCUUGGGGUAGUGGAAUUCCUUCAAUUGACUAGCGGCAGGAGCCCCGUGACGAGUUGAAGACCGGAUAUCGGUUGGAAGUAGCAAUAGGUGGUGUUGAUAACUUGGAUGAGGCUCCCGCUUGCUGUUGAUAACUUGGAUGAGGCUUCUUACUUAUUAUCUUACUUAUUAAUAUACUAGCAAGUAGUGGUCCAAUCGAGAAGUAGUGGUCCAAAGAAUGGAGUUGAGAGUGAUUAGUUGACAUAGGUAUCGGAGCAAGAGUUAGCAGAGAUGAGCUAUAAGUAGGCAUUCAUUCCUUAGAGAUAGAGAUUGGUCACCAACCCCGGGAGUGAAAGGCUUACGCAUCAGUAAGUAAGUAGUUGAUAUAACACUAGCAUCCGACUAAAGAAGCACACCGGCCGGGAAGAACAAGAGGUAUUCUUGCCAGCUGUGGGAGUUUCGUCUACAGGAUCAGAAGAAAGAGGUGGUUCGGUGUCAGAAUAAGAGGCUUAAGUGCGAGUCGAGUUACUUGGCCGUUGCUUGGCUGUUUCGGGUGCAAGGAUAGUACUUUGGCUUUGAAGUCAGGUACGCUUCAGUUGAGUGAAGAAAGGGUACUCAUUGUCUACUAGUAGCUUUGCUCUUUGCCUUUACGCUCUCCGCCUUGCCCUUACGCUCUGUUCCGCGUGGUAUCUUCUUUCUUUCUAGCUGAAGUUUCUAGUCUAGGUUCAGUGAUUGGCUUGUCGGUUCCACAAGUGGAGAGUCAGGAUCCUAAGCUAGAUUAGAGGCUGGAUUUGAGGCAUAAGCUAUAUCCGGAGUUGGAGCAGGCCCAGACUCAGUAGCUAAAGUCAGGUCAGCUGCAUAAGAAAGAUCCCUUACUUAAGCUUAUAUAAUAUAGAAAGAAAUCAAGUAGAGCAAUGUAGUUAGUAAGAAAGUUCCCUAUUGAGAUUUCACUGCUACUAGGUAAGGUUCCGUUCACUAAUAGGGUUCAGUUCAAGGUUCGGUUCUACAACCAUAGGAGCUGCGCAGUAUAAUUCUAAUAAGUUGAUUCUACUCACACUCUCAAGAGCCGAUGCCACCCCAAGACACUCUACAUACAACCUCGAAGUUGCCUUUCCCUCUUCUACUGCAUAGUCAAUAACUACUUGUUCCGUGUCUUCUGCUUCUGUUUCUUCUGCACCGGAUACAACUCCUAUUUCUUCUCAAACAGGUGUCCUGAACCACUUUCAUUCUAUCUUAUCCACUUUCAUUCUAUAACAGUCAGGUCUGCAAGGGUAGUUGAGGGUGCGGCAGUCUCGGGGCUUACUGGUUUCGCUAAGUAGUAUAAUUGGUAGCUAAUUGCUUAUGUUUCUUAUGUUGCUAAGGCCUAUAAGAAGUCAUAAAAUACUUACUGCGCUAGCAAUGUGGUAUUAGGGCCCGCUUCUUAGUCUUAUACUUUACUUACUGGUUGAAUUCUAUAGUUGCAUUCUUGACCUUACUAGUUGGAUUCAACUCAUUCACUUCUUAUAUACUUAUACAACUUGCUUCUUUCCCUUGACAAACCUCCUGCUCUGCAAAUGGGUAGCUGGUUGCUUACAGGUGGUUUGGUGUGAGGGUGCUGAUAUAAGUUUCUCAAAGCAAUGCACAUGGUUGGUUAGUUAUCCAAUUCUAUCAUAUAUGAUGGGGGUAACAAUAAUUCUUCUUCAGCAACAUAUGCGGCUCCUUAGUCUGUUCCUACUACUAUUCCUUCUUCUUUUUAGGAUAUUUAUUCAGCUCCUGAUCGAGUCGACUUCUUAAUAUGGUUAAACUCAUUCACCUAGCGCUUAAAAGCAAGUAAGAUAAGAUUCCCCAUUCCAACUUGACUUUAUACUUCACUUUGAAACAACAGUUGUACCAGUAGGGCCAGCCAGGUGCUAAAAAGGAUAUUUCCAUAAAUGAUGAACUUCAACUUGAAGUCGGAGAAGAAGAAAAAGAAAGUACAGUAGCUGUUAGAGGAAGGGCAGAAUCCAGUACAGGCCGGGCAGCGAGCGGGAAGGAGAGUUCUGUUGAGGUCGGGUGUGCUUGUCAAGUCGACGGAGCGGUUCAGAAAGGAAAGGAGAGUUUGUUAGUUGAAACACAUAUGGAAUACUCUGUAACCAAACACGGAUUACUUCAAGUAAGGGUAAGGCGGGAAAGAAGUCUCCUGUGCAGUGCAAUGAAAGUCCACAUCGACAACUAAUCAAAUGGCUAAUCUAUUGGAGUUCUGGAUCUGGCAAUUCCAUAAGUUUGUCUUGUAGCCUUGGCGGUCAUUAUACUAAGCUUGGUGGACUCGGUAUUGACUUGUAUUAACUCGAACUAGCAGCCCUGACGCUUGGAACUCGCUACCUAGCAACAUUAUACUAAGCUUGCAAUUACUUAAGGGUGGGGGCAACUCGGGAAGAAAAUGCAGGACUUGUUCUUAACGCAAACACUAAUAGGUAUACUAGGGUCUCUUUACUAAUAGGUAUACUAGGGUCUCUGACCUAGCUUCAAAGCCAAUACAUGAUUAUGCCCGAACAAUAUUCUCUUUACCGACAACUAAGGGAAAGCCAAUAAAAGAAGCGUCUCUAUCUUCGCCAACUAAGAUAGAAUCACUUACCGUUGAGGAAGAGAAGCACCGAGGCAUAGAUCUAUAGACCAGAAAGAAUAGAAACUUGAAUCCAAAAACUCAUUGUUCCCCGCCGUUGCGCAAGGGAAGGAAUAUCCGGGUGUACAAAAGUCAAGUCUCUAAUAUAAGCUUAUCUAAGAAAGAUGGAAAUCCAGAAAGAAAGUAGGGAUGCGGAAUACAGCUAAAAGCACUCUUCAACUUACUAUAGGGGCCUCUCCUUGUGAAGUUAAGGAAUGAAAGAAUUCCACUCAAACCUAGGAAUAAGUAAUUACAGAAUUGAACAAGUAUACUAAGAUCGGAAUGGAACUAGUCUCAAGUACUGAAAGUCUACAUUUGCUAUCAAAAAAGACGGGAAAACGUGAAAAAAGAAGAUCAAUUGAUCGGUCCAGGAAGCAAAACACCUUCGCUACCAAAAAACACGGGAAAACGCCAAGAUCUCAUUUUCAUGGAUCGGUCCAGGAGGGGAAAUGCCCAUGCUAUGUUUUUUCCCGGGAAAACGCAAAGAUGAGAUUUCCAUGGACCGGCUCAGGAGGGAAAUUACCUUGGCUAUCAAAAAAGCCGGGAAAACGCAAGAUGAUUGCUCCCUGCCGCUACACAUUAGUAGUUACUUGGCCGGUAUUCCACUCAGCGGUGGGAAAGGUCAGAAUGAAAGUGAACUGGCGUUGCUUGUCUCCUUGUCUAUACGUAGCUUGGUGGGUGGGCUUGUUGUGGAAUGAAGUUACUAGGGUAGUGAACUUUAGAACUCACUCCUGCUGUUCCUACUAUCUAAUAAGAAUAUUCUGAAUUAAUACAUCUACAUACCUCUAUACUACUUGUUGGGGCAGUAAACCCUAAUUGAACUUGCCUACUUGCUCUGUGUUUGUUAGUUAGUAGUUAGAAUACCUAUGUUUCAGUUUCCCCUGCAGAGUAGCGGUAAGUUAGAUAAGAAUAAGAUCUAGAUCCGGAUCUGGCUUAGUCUUAUUGAACGGUGGAAGAAGAGGAGGCGGGGUCUCAUGCUGGGCUUGCUUGUUUAAAGAAGUGACUAGGGGCCCUUAUUGUAAGUUCUUGUUUACUGACUUUUACUGGGCUCGGGUAGUUCACUCACUGCUCGGAUAGUUAACUCACUUUGUUGACUUACUUGGUUGGGCAGGAUAGGUUGACUUACUUAGUUGACUUAGGUAUCGGAGCCAAGCCUGAGUUCCGAGAGAUGAAGAGAUGAGAUGCGCCUGAGUUGGAUGAGAUGAGAGCAAGUCCUGUGUGAACAUAGGUGGAAAACUCCCUUUCCCUGAGCCAAGGAAAUCAAGAAUGAAACAACUAUACUCGGACUAAGAAUGCCAAGUAUUUAUAAGAAUUGACCUCCCUCUCGACAGCCUAUGCUUACCUAGCUUGCCUACUUGCUAUGUGUUUGUUAGUUAGUAGUUAGAAUACCAAUGUUGCAGUUUCCCCUGCAGAGUCUAAGAAUAAGACAAGUGAGUACUAGUAUAAGAAUAAGCCAAGUGAGUAUAUGAAUGAAACCAGUGCCAACCAGGCUGGUGCUACUGGUGCUGAUGCUAUGUAGCUAAGGUCUAGUAGCUGGUAUCGGUAUUGGUAGCUAAGGUCUCUAUUAUGUUGCUAAGGUCUCUAACCACUGUAAACCAGGCUUUGUUUCAGGUGUUACAGGCUUCACUACUGACUAACAGACUUCAACUCACUCCAAUCAGACUUCAACCAGUAAGUAAGCAUCUAGUAUCGGAGUAAGCAUCUAGUACUAAGAUCAGAGCUAAUAGGCGAACACAGGACUUGAAAGAAGAGAACUAACCCUCGAACAAAGGACUUAGUAGGAGGCGAGGAAGCAAUAAGUAUGGAAAUCCAGAAUGAAACCACUAUAGCAUCUAGUUUACUUACCGCAAUUAGUACAUCCCUAGUUUCCCUUGUUGCAUCCCUAGUUUCAUCAGUGUUUGAUGCCCGAGUUAGAUGAGCUGGAGAACCAAGUCCUAAUUAAUAGCGGAGGAGCGUUGCCCGGUGAAAUGAAUUGUAGCCCGAGUUAGAUUAGCUAGUUGCCGGAGUUCGGGAAGUAGAGAAGAGUUGCUAGUAGGCCCAAGUGAGUCUUAUUCUGUUAUUAAGGAUGAAAUGGGGCAAGAGUGAAAUGAGCAUUAAGUUGAAGGGUGAGAUUAGAGUCCUGCUCCUGCUCGAGUGGAAUACCGAGUUCAGUAACUACCCAACCAUAGGCUCUGAACCAAAACAACUGAUUUCUAGUUGCGCGCGGGAAGUUAUUGGACUGAGCCCGAGUUAGAUGAGAAAGAGUUCAAAGAGCCAGGGGUAUUCUUGCCAGCAGGGGUAAAUUCAUUGAAUCUAGAUUGUCUGCUUGAAUGCAAAGUAGCGUUUUAUAGGUAUUGUUGCUAUAGGGGUAGAUGAGAAAGAGUCCAAAGAGCCAGAGGAGAGCACACCCGGAGUUGUUUGUCGACUUGGCCCUUCAGUUCGACGAGUAUCUCUGUGUUCGAGUGUUGGUAUUGCGGUGCUUAAUAAUAGGGCAGAAGUCAAGUAUCCAGUUUCCAGAUAUAUCGUAUGCUUGAGCGGUGAGAGGACAAGAUAGGGGCUUCAAAUUCACUAUAACAGCACUUAUUGAGUUCUCUGGUCAAUCACAUUCAAAACUGAUACUUAUUAGAAAUACAGCAUUUCUAUACAAAUAAAUGAAUGAUUUCUAAUCCGCCAAGACACUGCUAAUGACCAAGCAGACUAGAAGGCAAGUCACGACUAGACAAGAGCGAGCGGAUGAAGACUAGAACAAUAACAGAAAGAUACGGGAUUUCACUAGUGCUCACAUAAUACUUGACUUACUAGCAAACAGGCUAUAGUUACUGGCUUUGAUUCUAUGACUCCUACUUCUAGACUUAAAGCACCUGAACCACUUGACUUUCCCAGCCUAUACACAAGCACCCAACCUAGACUUAACAAGCACAAGAACCACACUUUGCAGAACAGAACCGAAAUGCUGAAGUCGCGACAAACCUAUCUCCACACUGUUUAAGAAGGAAUAGAUUCGGACCAACACCCAGCUUUCUCGCCUGAUUGAGAGUACUUAGCGGGCAGCUUACUUCCUUUCCACUUAUAUCUUUCUUAUUCUAUUGUUCCCUAUUCUUCUUGAUCUCCGACUCAAUAUACUGACUCUAAAACGGAUCUAUCUCCUGAUGAACAAAGGACUUGGUUCGUUCAUCAGCGUUAGAAAUGAAUAAGUCGGCCUGGAGCGAGUCCUUUCUUCGUCCUCGUUAGGGAGUUUGAAAGAAAAGAAGAAGAUCACAUAUUAGCAAGAGGUCCAUCUCUUUAGGCUAAAAUAAGGCGCCCAGUGUGAAGUACAGCUCCAAAACGAAUUCUAUUCAAAUCGACAAGAUCAGCGGUUGAUCGCCACUGGGAAGCAUUCGACUCUGUCUAGGAGGGAUUCCAUUAUCAAAGGAGAUCUAUGAAAGCAUUCUUAUGGUCUUAGGUUUCUUCACUUAACUCUCACGUAAGCACCUUCGCGAGCCGUACCGAUAAAAGAGGCCGAGACUUAUUAUGAUAUUGAUUAUCAAAGGGAAAGCUAUGAAAGAGUUGACCUCAAAAGGGAAAGCUAUUCUAGAGUUGACCUCGCGCUGAAGAAGAGCGCAGUGAAACGAUAUCAAGGACUGAGUGAUUGAAAGAGCGAUAGUACAUGAGACCAAAGACAUAGAAAAGGGUGCUUCAAAACGGACUUAUUACUUUAGUUGCUUCAUUUCCCUGUCCGGGUUUCUUUACUUUACUAUUAGAUUUGAUUUACGUAAUCUUCAAUGGCUCGAUAUGAAAGACGACCUGCUCGCAUUCCAUUCUUUAUAGGAUGAAACUAACAUAAAGAAAUGGGGUAUACUAAAUAAGGGGUAAACUAGGGUCUCUCCUAAACACUAGAAAUAAGGGGUAAACUAGGGUCUCUCCUUCUGUCCUAAAAAGAAAGGGACUAUUCAUUAGGCUAGGUUUUGGAAUGGAUUUAUUGACCGGAAGAAAGCCUUACCUUGGCAAGAGUGAAGAUAGUGGGUUCCUCUCUCUGGCGAGUGACUCUGACUUUCUGUCUUUUGGUUGAACUCACCACCGGAGUGGCUACCCGGCGAUCCAAGGCCAGUUGAUGUUGCAGUGUCCAGUGCCAAUGUUACUGCUUUCGGACGGCUUGAUGGAAGGCGAGACACUUCCAGAGGUGAAAUAGCCAACACCAAUACGCCUAGUCCUGACUGUACGCCUUUUCAAAGCUCUAUAAGGUAAGGCGGGUUCUCGAUCAAUCAGCUCAUAGUUUGGGAGAGAUAGGCCAGUAACAUAGGUAUAGGUUUCGUUCGAAUUUCUAGGAGUUUCACUUGCUUGAUCUUGAUUCUAUGAUGGUGGCAGGGGAGUAACUACUAAGGGUAUUUUCUAGUUUCACGAAUUCCAAGCAAGGCGUAGAGAAGAUUCCAUUUCGAAUUCCAAGCAAGGCGUAGAGAAGAUUCCAUUUCCACUCGUUAAGACUGAGCUAGACUAGGAAUUACUAAGUUACAAAGAUUGAGGAAAAAGACGAGGCUCCUCUAUAAACUAGAUCAUUAACAGGGAAAGCGACUCUUCACCGGAAAUAGUCACUUUAGCAAGCAUUAUGUUUCAAGUUGGAAGUAAUCGUCUGCUCAUAGAAGUGGAAUUCCAUCGGGUCUGUCUUCUUGAAGCUCAUAGAAGUGGAAUUCCAUCGGGUCUUCUUAAGUCAGUAACUUUGAGUAUACAAGGUCAGCUACAUUCCACCUUUCUAGAUAUAUGUUCAAACAAAUGACAUAUUUUCCAUUUCGAUCUAAGACUUCCAGAGCCGGGGCUUUCAAUAUGGCUCUGACCUGUUUCUAUUCUCAGAAUUGAUAGUAGGAAUUCUAUGGUGCAACGACGCAGUAUCAAUGUUUCUUGUGGUGAUAGUGAAUAAGGGGUUCGAAAUAAUGUCUUCCAUACUAUAUGUUCUCCUCAAGACAAGUUGAGUUUGGUGAUCAUUGAUAGUGGAAGUGUUGAUAAUUUGGUCUCUCUCUUUGGAUAUAUUGGAAAAGUGAAGAUAACCAUUCCACACUGUACAAUUGCGCUGGCGGAAUAAUAGGGGUUGGUUAAAUAUCAAGGUGAGCAAGCGUUGUUUGGUUUCUUUUUCCAUGGGGGAUCACUACACUGAUCAAGUUUGGUGAUAUAUCAUUCCAAUGGAUUCUUUUGAGUUGUUGCUUGGACGACCAUGGCACUAUGAUAGGAGGGUUCUCUAUGAUGGUUGAAACCUAACUUAUUCCUUUCAGAAAGAUUGCGUUCUUUUGGAGUUCCUUUCAGAAAGAUUGCGUUCUUUUGGAGCCCUUGAAAACCCACUAGGUAUCUCUUGGACUUUGGUUUGGUGCCCUUGAAUCUCACUAUCAAUACAUUACCUACAAAAAGGAGAGGGAAAGGCAAAUCUAUAACCUCAAAAAAGGGAGAAGGAAAAUCUAGAAAAAGAACCAAAAGAAGGCAACAGAUAAAGCUUCUGGGUUAGGGUGGGUAGGUGACUCGUCCAGUGGGAAGCUUCCGUGGAGAGAGGAUUCCCCCCUGGAUUUUCAUCAGUGAACUGGUUUUAUCGCUUUAGGAGUCUUAACUAAUUGAAGAACCUAAUGGAUCCAACUUAUAGAAGGACCAGACACGUAUCGCCUUGGUGGAAUCUACUAAAGUGAUGUAGAAUUGCGAUAUGAUUGAGAGGGCUCCUCUUAAACGGGUGGGCUCGCUUAAGCAUGUCGAGUUUCCGCCUUCGUUUAGUAGUUCGGUGUGGAAACCACUUUCCGUAGGCUCCAGUCAGUUGUCGUUGAAUCUGGGCGAGGCUGUAGACCCGCGGCUACUAGUCUACUCUUCGUAGAUCUCCUGAGCGAGACAAACCUCGGGUUGCCGUGUUAACACCCUUCCUUACCAGUUGGAUUAUAAGAUUCUACAAAGGUUCACCAAGCCCAACCAAGAUAGAAGAUAUUGAAGUUUAUGCAUAAAAGCGGAUACCAAGACAAGUUGCCUUUCUUUACAACAAUGCUUUCCGUGGUCGUGCUCAGUGUUUUUAUAAGCUUUUCCGUAACUGCAAAAGGUCUUUUGUAUUGAUGGUUAGCUGUGGGGCUAGGAAAGAAAAGAACCCAUUUAUAGGAAGAUGACGUUUACUCUGUAUCCAAAGCCUUAUUUAUUUCUUGCUUGGGCUUUAUUAAUCAAAUCAAUAGUUACGAUCAUUAAAGAACCAAAAGGUUUGCUCGAUUGAGAGAUGUUAUUAGUAAUCUUAGACAGCUCGGCAAGCAGCUGAACUCUUUUCCUAUUUCUUGAGCUUUCGGCAAGCAGCUGAACUCUUUUCCUAUUUCUUGAGCUUUGGAUGGAUCUCAAGGGCAAAGUACUCAUUCAGGGCAUUACUAGGAAGAUUCAGAGGGGGCGGGCACUUCUGUCAAGUCCUAUAGGUUCCUCAUUUCCAUAUGCUAUAGGUUCCUCAUUUCCAUUAUGAGAGAAGCAAUCCGACUUUUCUAGGGCUAGGCUCAGAUCUCUUUUGAGGCACAGUGUCUUUAAACCCACCCCUGCGAUGCCUAGGUAAAGCGGCUGAAGCUUAUUGCGCCUAAUUCCAUUGAGCUGCUAGGCUUCCUUCCUUACCUAAGCCCUUAUUCGGAAAUGAAGUGGAAGACGCUCCGCCUAGGUUCAUUGGCCUUUUUUCGAUGUCAAUGCUCUUACAGUGAUUCUCUAAUCUCUCAAAAUCAGGGUCGAAAGAAGAACGAACGUCUAGACUUUUCUCUGUCUGUGGGGCUAUUAGUCACUUUUCUCGCUCCUCAAGAAAGACGGCUAGAAACUUCCUAUUAGGAAUGGUUUCCUUUCAGGUUCUGUUGUUACAAACCAGACUGUUAUAACAGGUCAGGCAGGGGAUACGGAGAACUCAUUUCAUGCAGUACAGCUAUGAUCGGGAAAUAGCUAUGAUAAGAUAAGACUGAAUGUGUGUGUGAAGGAUAUGGUUCUGGUUCUCUUCUGUCACGUUCCUUCAAUCAAAGAAGAAUCCAUGCCCAGGGCUAGUGCCAUCGCAUAGUUCGAGUCUUACCUGCGUGCCCAACAUCCACUCCUUCUAGUCGAGUGCAGUGCGGCGCCUUUAACGAUGAGAGAAGGCGAUACCGAAGAUAAUAACUCAAGGGCACUGGCUACUUAUACAGUAACACGGCAACGAUAGAAGCGGAUAGGCAUUCACGUUAGCUUUCAAAGAGACUCGUUGUUUGGCUUCCUAAACCAGUAAUGAAAAAAGGUGCACCCACGGGCUGGCUAAGAGAAUUCUGCUUUUUCUGAGAAAAGUUCACUUAGGUAAAGAUCCAUCACGCACUUCAAUCCGAACAUCAAAGUUCGCUUUCUAUACUCCAUUUCAUCAUUUGGCACUCUUAUUACAUUCUUUUUGAGAUGGAAAGCACAUGGAAAGCACAUCGUCUCAUUCAAACAAAGAAUGAUGGGUAAUUGAACUCUAUCCAAGACUUAUACUUAAUAGGCUAAAGGGGCUUAGGGAACAGCUAGACGAUCAAAGAUAAAGCAAGCGGAUGCAAAGCAAUCAAAGAGCAUCACCACUUGCUUCGUCUUUUACUUUUAAGAAAACAUCGAAUGGAAAGCGAAUGGAAUGAAUGCACAGCGACUGAUACCGUUAGCAUUAACUCUGAACUUCUCGUUGGAAUAUUCAUGUUUGUUUAAGCAAGAGGACCCGUAAGAGUUGCACAUGGAAAUAGCUAUAUAGAUGAUCCUAGCGAUACACAUGGAAAUAGCUAUAUAGAUGAUCCUAGCGAUACACAUGGAAAUAGCUAUAUAGAUGAUCCUAGCGAUAAUAACUAAAUUCGCUUUUGAAAGAUAGGUGUUUUUCGCAUCAACUACUUAUCCCCUCGGUGGCGGGACUGAUCAAUAGUCCGUGUUGCGCUACGGAGCGUGUUGCCAGGUUUGUGGCCGGGUGAGGAGAUAACUAUCUCUGGUGGAUCCUGCCCCGGGGAAGAAAGAGUCCAACUAUUCCUUUCUUUUGUGUAAGAGAACGCGGAAAGCUAUAUAAAAAGGGAACAACCUACUCUAAAGAAGGAGCUAUCAGCUCAGGAAGAAGAACAUGAUUCGCCAGAUAGUCUCCAUUGAUUAUUAGCCAGAUGAUUGUCUUAGUCUACCCGCAAAAGCUAUCCAAGCAGAGACAGCAAACCCUAAGGUAGCUAGCUUGAGAUUCUCCUAGACUUAUGAAAUAUAGAGUGUUAUAGGCUUUAGCGCACCUAUGAAUAGAGUGUUAUAGGCUUUAGCACCUAACCUGGAGGUUUCAACUAAAGUACUCGCGGAACCCCCGCAAUAGAGAUAUUUGACCUCUAAGCCGCUCUUGCCCGCCUUUAAUUAAUCGAAUAGAAAAGUGCAAUCAAUCUGUCGAUCCUUAUUUGACCAUAAGCAAGUAGCUGUCUCGUCUACACCCGGAAUCCGAAAGAAAGGGCCAAGUCACUGGACAAGUAACUACGUCAGUGUAGCGGCAGUGCAGUGCUACUGUGUAGGUAGAGAAGCCGAGGGAAGUGAGUUUUUAAGUAGCACGCGCCCCGAUAGUCCUGGGUAGUGAGGAAGCAUAACAAGCAAGAGCGCUCGGUAGUGAGGAAGCAUAACAAGCAAGAGCGCUCACGUGAGAGAAUUCGCCGGUGCAAGACGUUGACGUUAAUCUGGAAAAGCUAUACUGUUAGGUUAGGUAGAGCCAGCAAUAAGGUUUCAAAUGACAUUAUAGGAAAACAAGAAAACAAGUAAACGAACCGUCCGUUGCGCAAGAACAAGCGCAUUAGGAGUUUUGGAAGCAAAGCAGUGUUCUUACUUACAUACUAAAGCAGUGUGUUCUUACUUACAUACUGAAUCUAUUUAGGGGUCGCUUCUUCAUAGGGUUUUCUUCAUAGGGGUCGCUUCUUCAUAGGGGUCGCUUCUCAAUAAUGGGAAGGGUUUUCUUCAUAGGGGUCGCUUCUCAAUCAAGUUAUGGAACAAGCAAUGCAGUGUUUAGUCACAUUACUAUAUAAGAUGUAAGUGAGUUAUAUUUUCUUCGUUAUUACAAUUUAUGUUUCCGUGCCAAGCCAACAAAGACUUAUUACUUUCGAACAGCAUCUAAUCCUGCUUCAAAGCUAGUACUUUAUGAUUCCCCGACUCGAACGAAAACUCAAUAAGCGUAAGUGCCUCGAAUUGAUUCUUUUGAGAAUGUCCUAUACUCACAAACACUAUAGUCCGGAACUAUCUAAUGCUUGUUGGCUUCUGGAACUCGACUACUUGUUCUUUCUUAGUUACUUGUUCCAUUGCUUGUUGGCUUCUGGAACUCGACUACUUGUUCUUUCGCGCUUGUUCUUUAAGAACUUGAUUCUGCUUAACCGAAAUAUAGACAAGAAAUAGGACUAUAGUAAUGAAUUCUUUCUUGCCGUUAUUGCCGUUGAGAUACCAGAUACUUGACUUUUGACUGCUUGAGCAACCCCAUUAAUAAGUCUGGGCCAGUAACACCAACAAUGGAAUUGAAAGCACCUAUUAUAGAAGUGAAAAAACACCUAUUACUCUCGGGUCGGGGAACAAGAUAAUAGAGUUGGGAUCGAGUCUAGGUUAAGCAGUGAAGUCGUCCGCAGAGGAAGGAAAGUGUAGUUAUGGGGCAGAAUCAACUAUUGGCUUUCUUUGAAGAGGACCGUUGACAGGUUACAGUUAAGUCGGUGAAGAACUCAAACCCAGUAUUGUUUCUUGGAGCAUAAUCGAGUACUUCUUCAGCGUUAGCAUAAAGUCAGGGGUAGGGCAGCAGACUAUCUUACUUGCUUUUCAGCGAGGUGUGGUCGACCUCUUCUCUUGUUGGUAACGAAACAUAUUGUCCUGCUUCCCCGCAAGUCGUUCUUUUAAAUAUAGUUUCUUUGGGUGCUUCUCCACUAAGAUCUUUUCCUGUAAGAUUCUCUUCUGCGCUAGAAAGAUUCAAUUCGACAAGUUAUAAACGAGUCCUUUUUUGAUGAGUUCGAGCUGGGUCUAAAAGUGCUGUUAUUGUUGUUGGCGACUCGAAUGAAGAAGCUGUUUCGAGAAGUCAAAGGAUCUGGAUACGUAUCUUCUGCAGUGCUUGUUAAGUCUACUUGUUUUUCUGUUGCGGUAAGAUAGGAAGCUAUGCUAAAGAGUGUUGGUGACGAGUCUCUUUACGUUCUUGUUAAAGUGCAAGUUUCAGUUUCAAGAUCGGGAUCAGACUCCUGAGCAGGAUAUGCAAGUGAAGUAUCAAGUCCGAGACCAGUGUGAGUUGGCGCCUCAAGCAAGACAAGGCUCAACAAUUAACCCGAGGAAACAGGUUAAUGCCAGCUUUUCAGACGUGGAUAGAGCAAAGCAGACCGGAUCAUCAUCGGACCCGAUUCGAAGUAGUCGGAAGUGAUACUAUACUUCUCUUUCCGCUUUUCAACAAGUUGUCCAAAUUCGUAGACGGAGUCUCCAGCCUCGCAGACAUCGCGCCUUUCAACAUCCCACUGAUCAGCGUACGGGUUCAUUACCUCGGUUUGUAACCAAUUGACCGUCUGUCUGGCUUAGCUUAGAAGUAGACAUGGGCAAAAACUCAAAUACCCCCGACUGGUAAAGAGGUAAGUCCAAUAUAAGAAAAUGAGAAAAUCGUAUCACAAAGUACUGUCAUUAUAGACCAGUUAUCUUGAAGCCUCCCUAACCCGAGUAAAGCGAUACUGAGUCAUUAGAAUAAGGCAACUUACUUGUAACACAAAACCUACUAUUAUGUCUAUAACAGAGCGAUAAGAUUCUUGACCUCAGUAAGCACCAACUGACCUGUAAUUUGACGUAUGACUACAGCGCGCAUGACGCAUGGUGAAAGCUUAAUCUCAUCUCUAGUUAUACCAACGAGGAGAGUCAAUCUCAACGUUGCUAAAUAAGGAUCGAAUCGAAGUUGUAACGCCCACUCUUACUCUUUAGUAGACUCUAACACUUAAAGGAAAAAACCUUGACUAUGGAUUUGCCGAUACCGAGCUGAGUGAAUGAGCACAUGAUGAAGGAAUGCUUUUACAAGCGGUAGAAAGAUGUUCGAUGCUUACCUAGAUGGACAAGCAGUCAACCUCUAUUCCCUCAAGCAGUCAACCUCUAUUCCCUUUGGAUUGUUCAAGUAGAAAAUGCACUUUAUAGGGUCCUGAGUGAAAACAAACGAGCUUAAGAAUAAAUAGAAAGCGCUUAAGAAACAGAGUCGCGUGAAGACCAGCUGGACCGCCUUCGAAGGCACACGUGAAGAGAACCCCGGGGGUUUGAUUAAUUGAUUUCUGACCUCCCCCGUCGUAAUAGGCUGGUUUCCGGGGGCUAAGAAGCUUACUUUGAUGGGACUUCCUCUACCUUAAGUCGAGUGGCCUUACACUCCUAUCGGCCGGCUCCUUUAGCCGCAUCGAUUGUUAGAGCUCAUACAAAGUGUGUUUUUUUCUGAUAGUAUAUAGGGACUGAGUCAAGACUUCCUUUCCACAUAUUGAUCUGGCCCUUCUCUGCUUUUGUUAGUGGUGCAACACUACAAGGGUACAAUCCGUUUAGGUACAAGAACAAGGAGCUACUGCGGGACAAUAAGCCCUUUUUGCAAACUGGAAAUGCUCUUAGUAGCCAAGGUAAUCAAAUGAAACAACUUUACCACCAAGGAAACUCAGAAUGAAUUUGAUCUAUCGAGAGGGCUGAAGCCACAAAGAAAGAAAUCACUCAUCAAUUGUGGAACGAGUAGGAAUUUCGCAGAGCAGGAAAAGAUGCAUUUCGAACUUCGUAAGCGGAAGAAAAAGAAUGAAUGAAAUGGAGCUAUAUAAGUUAGAGGCAUAUUACCCCGAAUCUCUACCUACUAGGAGCGGACUUUCUGCGCACCCAACUCUCCUAAUCAAACUCGGGCAAAGGGAAAGAAAGCCAAUUACAAAAGCAUUAACACCAAUAACAGGCAACACCUAGACUGAGCACCCAAAGCAAAGAGACGAGUAGUAAGUGCCAAAAAAACUCUCCUCUCCUAAAGCUAUAAGAUCAAGAUACCGCCCUGAAGUGAGAAAGGAAGCUGCAAGCGAUGAAGCGGGGCCAAGCAACAGAGCCUCAUUCUUUGAAUAGUUUACAGAGGAGAGUUGGAAGAUCAGAGGAGAUAUUCGAAAUUGGCUAUUCGGCAAGUAACUACGUAAGUGUAGCGGCAGUGUUGUUUACCGAGAAAACGCAAAAAGAGAAUUCCAAUAAGGUCACUCAGGAGGGGCCAAGUAACUACUAAUGUUACGCGGCAGGAGUUCUGGGGCUUCGCUACCAAAAAACACGGGGUUUUGUAAAAAGAUCAUUGAAAAAAGGUCCUCUAUUAGGGGAAAUUCCGAUGCUACCUUUUUUCUCGGGAAAACGUCAAAUUCUCUAUCUUCUUGAUCGGCCCAGGAGGGAAAAUGACGAAGCUACCUUUUUUACCGGGGUUUUAUAAACUUCCCUUUCCACUCCAGUAGUAGCUUGGCGUCUGGCACUUCGUCAUCAAAACCUUGUAGUUACUUGUCUAGUAGUUACUAGUAGGACUUGCUUUAGACUGUUACUAUAUACUUAGUGGAGCGGGUCUGAUAGAAGGGGAAGUGGAGUUUGGUGCUUUAGCUCCUAGUAUACGAGUAGUCCAGUGGUCGUGGUCUAGUUUCAUCCGUAUUAGUAGACAUAGUCCUGUGUUUGGGGUUGUCGACUUGUCUAGUAGUUGCCCGCCCCUGGUAGUCCUGUUCGAGUAAGAAGAAGUAAAGAAUGGAACGUCGUUGGCAAGUGGAGUUCCGCUAAAGAAUCAAGUCCAGGUAAGAAACUAGGGCUUAUGGAACUUCGGCAAGGAAAGCAGUUCCGUCUGAAGGAGAGGUAUGCAAGAGUGUGAGUUUCAUCCCCCAAAAGUAGUUGUCUAGACUUACAGCAAUUAGUACAUCUGAGACUAACGAGUGGAAUUCUUGAAAGUAAUAAGCUUCAAGAGCAAGAGCUUAACUACUAUCACAGGAGAGCACUAAGGAUUUGAAACAGAAGCUGUACCACCGGUCUUCCACUCUCACUCGAUUAGUGGACAUAGCCAGAGUCUCUUGGGGCGCGAGGAAAGCCUAUAACUCUUGUACUGUACUUUUCCUCUUGCUCAUAUACUUAUAUCUGUUUUGUUCUUGCCAGUCAAUACUAACCGAGACCCCUCUUGCUAAUGAGUCUGUUUCUCUAUCUCCUGUAGUGGAUCUUUCCAUUCACCAAGCAACUACUACAAAGGGCCAAGCAACUACUAACGACCGCCAAGCCGACCUAGACUUUACUUCUCUUUAAGAACUGUCAACUCCCUUUCCCCCCUAACCUGGACUACCUGGACUACCUGGAAUACUAUCCGAUUUCUCCUCAACUUACUAUAAGGGCCUCUCAUAAGUACCCGAGCUCAACUCAGUCAAUUAAUACAACAAAUACAGAUGAAACAAAUCAUUCCACUCGCUAACUACAGGCUCGGCUCAUCUAACUCAAUUCAUUUCUUUUCUACCUGAAUUAGGCUCACCAGGACUACUAACUACUGGGACUACCACUACUGGGAUUCAGCAAGUCAGUAAACUACCCGAGUCAAAGAAUUCCACCACCCUACCCGAGCCUUACCCAUACUUUAGAACCAGAACUUUACCACUACCCUGAAGCUACAUACCUAGCAACACUGGCAUCAGGCUUACUAGCGACAUACCCAUACCGAGCACGCAAUCAGGCUUGGACUCCUUAGCUUCAUUCUGAGUACCUAGAGGUCUCCUCCGAGCCUACUUAGCUGCAUUCUGUAACUCACACUUUGUUAAGUCUAAUAUUGGUCAGCUCCCGAACCACAUAAUAAGUAGGCAAACAACUACAAAGACAUAGCAAACAACCAACCGGAGUAGCUCUUUGAACUUAGCAGCCCCGAACACAGGACCACUGACUUAAGGCUUCUACCCAAUAGUUCCAUUCUGAAUCUACUAAGUUGGGUUCUUAAACUACUGGCUUUUAUUCUCAAACUACUUAGUUUCAUUCUUUCAUGACUUAGCCCGAGGUUAGAGUUUCUUCUUCCUUUUGGUCUGUAACUACUGAUUGGUAGGCACUUAUCAAUAAUACAUAGCGGUGUGGACUUCUGGUCAACUGAGUUAAGUAAGAGUGAAGGCUGGGAUUUACUGGGUUGAUUCCGAUACUGCUGAGUGGAAUUCUGAAACUAGAGCUUCAGGCUUGCUGGUACUGCUUUCAGGCUUGGAUUCACUGGUUGUAGCCCUGUUAGGUGGGGUUAGGCACUAGUUUGGUUGUUAGGUGCCUCAGUCCUUUAGUUAGUAGUUGAUGUCUGGUUGUUAGAUGCCUGGGUUGUUAGAUGCGCUAGUUUAAGUAUAGUCGCUAGGUGCCUUAGCCUGGUCGUUAGUGGGUUGGCUCUGAGUGGCACUGCUUUAAGCCUGCUCGGUAUUAGUUGCAUUCCGAGAAGCACUGGCUUCAGUCUUUGAGUUAGGUAUCUGAGUUUAGUUGUUAGUUGUUUCAGUCUAAGUAUACAUAGCACCAGUCCUGUUAGCACUGGGUUAAGGCUUAGAUGCAUUGGCUCCAUUCUCAGAUGCACCGGUUGAAGACAGAGUGACACCAGCAGCAGGCUUAGCAACACCAGUAUCAGCCUAGGAAGCACUUGUUUGCGUCCCGUUGGCACCGGGGUAAGGCUUGGAGUUACUGCUUGAAGUCUUGGAGUUACUGAUUUGAUUCUUUGACUCCUUAGGUUCAUUCUGGGGCAUAUGGGUUUGGUUCUUAGAUGCAGUGGUUAGAGAACUUAGCUACCUAGCUAGAGGAUGAGUAGACACCGCUUCAGUCUAGUAAUUAGUGGUAUCAGGCUUGUUAGCUCAGGUUGAAGCCUUAGCGACAGUAGUUAGAGACCCGAGCUACACCGCAUCAGCCUAAGUAUACCCAACCCAGCAGCAGGCUUAGUACCAAUAUAGAGCCUCAGUAGCACUACUAUCAGUCUGGUUGGUAGCAGCUCCAUUCUUGGAUUUAGUGGUUUCGGUCUGAGUGACACUUGUUUGGUUCUCUCGCUCCCCGGUUUCAUUCUCACUUCCCUUGCUUGCAGGCUGAGAUGCACCGGUUAUAGCCUCAGCAGCUGCGGUCGGAGCCUGUAACUACAUAGCAUCAGACUGAGCCCACUUAGCUUCAUUCCGAGCCUAAGCCUACCCGGUAUCAGUCUGUAACUCCUUAGCCUCAUUCUCGGUGGUACUACUUAGAGCCUGUAACUAAUAGCAUCACACUGAGUCUGCCCUUAAGUAAAAGUGUCUAUUUACUGUUCUCCUUAUAGCUGACUUCGGUUCUUCUGACUGUUCUCCUUAUAGCUGACUUCGGUUCUUCUUUCUGGAUCAAGUCCCAGGUAAGAUCUGAGGGCGAAAGCAGUAGGUAGGGUUGGAGACCCACGAGGCUUGAGCUGUUCUCGAGUCCAUAGUCUCGACCAAUUAUAUUGUUCUCGAUCCGGUCAUGCGAAUAUCAAAUAAGACAUUUCACGCCUCUAAGGUAAGGUUAGAUUCUGGUCGUGGGCUGCCGCGAUCAUGAUGAAAUGGGCCUUUUGAAAGGAAGUUAGGGUUUUGGCUUACGGCUUAUCUUAGAUCUGGCAGAGAAAAGAAAGGUAUUGAGCCAACUGGAGCCCACUCGCGGGAGCCACCGAGGAACUCACCCAUCACCCUCACACAGUUACCACUUAUUUCAUAUAUAAGGGAUAGACAGAUACUUGGGUAUUUCUUUCUUAUAUCAUUCACUGGGGAAUUGGGAGUACUUAUCUAUUUGAUUCUUUGAAAUUUCUUAUCUAUUUCUUAUUUCUAGAUUUCUUAUCUAUUUCUUAUUUCUAGAUUUCUUAUUUCUUUCUUAUUUAUGGAUUUCUUAUUUCUUUCUUAUUUCGGAUUUCUUUAUUCUUUUAUAGGCAUAGGCAACCGAAGAAGCCUUAACAAACGCGCUCAGAAAGACACAGAUGCGACGCCAAAACAAGCAACGACGAGAACAACACGCGACAGCGGACGCGCAAAUCAGCUGACUAUUUUGACUAGCAGGAGAAACGCCCGAAGCGAUCAGAUACCGACAAACUGAGAAUCAUGAACCACACAAACGACCAAGCUCCAAAAAAGUCCAACUUCAGAAGAUACAUAUUAGUAACUCUGUCCAGAGCUGAUGCAACCAAGGAGAGAGCGACCAUCAAAAGACAAGAAAUUGUACUAAGGGUAGAGAAGGCACUAAAGUGCUUCAGUAUUCUAGUCGCGAGGGAGCAUCACGCAGAACAGGGGCUUCGAACACCCAGUCACUCACCGGCAAGCGUAUACUAGACAAGAAAGCCAGCAAGCUUCAAAACGAGUACUUUCUUCCUCCCCUCACCAGGUUAGGGAUAUUCUAAGAAUAGGGUACGAUCUAGUCCCGCCGAUUCCUCUGAUCUAGUCCCGCCGAUUCCUCUGAUCUUGGGGACUUCCCCGGAGCUGAACCUUUCUACUGUGGAGCUUCUGUUUGGACUGGCGAAUGAAACAAGUAAGUUGCAGAGACAAGCAGCGUAUACUACAAAGGCGAGGAGAUAACCAAUAAGUAACGAAUGCAACACUAACAGAUAGACGACAACUUCAUAAUACAAAUCCAGAUUGGAACCACUGCUAGCAGGCUCACUACCCUUGCUUUGGUUCUGUAAUAACUUAUGAGGAUCUGACUUACUACUACCUUAGUCAUGGUUUCUUAUCACUAUCAAACUAUAAGUAUGAAUAUUGCACUAGAUCAGACUCUCUAUUAAUACUCUAAUUCUUAUUGUGUUCGUUAUCUAAGAUAAGACUAAAGUUCGGAGAGGCAGACUAACACUCGCUCAUAGGAGAUCCGUACAUGGAGUUCAAUCUAUUUAAAUCUAUUGGCUAGUUUUGAUUUGUUUAGUUCUAUUACAAAGUAUACGUUGAUUAUACGUUGUCCGCACGUUGCCUGUACGUUGCCUUUAGUCGAGUUAAAGCCUUAUUGGUUGGUGCCAUGCCAUACGGAGGCGUCAAUCAAUGUUUCUUCAAUCAAUGUUUCAAUCAAUCCAAUAGGGUUGGUUUUGUGCCAUACUAGGGUUUGGUGUCAAUCAAUUCAUAAUAGGCUUGUGUUACGCGCCAAGUAACUACUACAAAAACAUAGCUGCAAAUGAAUACGUUAUAACUCGAGGAAACAUGAAUACUUUAUAACUAAUUAUAACCAAGUCCUUCUCUUGGGAGUCCUAAUCUAGAGCGGCAGUCCCUUCUUCCGCUGUUCUGGCUUUGAUGCGAGGGCAGCGUCAGCUGCUGGCUCCUACUUCCUUUCUUUCUAGUUUUCACCGUAAAGUUUCACCCUCGAGUCGUUGUUGAAGGGUAUCUGUAUAUACUGUGGAUGCCUUCUAUUAGUGCUUCCCCACUACUGUGGAUGCCUUCUAUUAGUGCUUUCUUCACCAUAAUAAAGAGAAAGAGAAUCAAGAUGGAAAGUGUCCUCAUACGAUGCUGGUAGUUCUAUCUUGUAGGCAUUUUCACCAAUGCGUUUGAGAACAGCUCUUGGAAUGGUCCAUCAGCUCUAGGCUUGAGCUUAGCAAAUUGUCCUCGCGGGAAAGGCUCCUUUCGGAGAUGAACCCACACCGGAUCACCUUCUUUGAACUCAGCAAACUUGCGAUGCUUGGCAGCUUGAGUUUGAUAGAGCACAGGAGCAGAGUAGGUAACGAGUAGCUGUUCUUUCAAAGCAAAGCACUAGCCCUUCUUUCUAUCCGUUCAAGCAAGGUAAUUGGUAGGCGCGAGCAUUCCUGUGUGAUUCAAGUUCGUUCCAGUGAUAAUUACAGGAUUGUGGAAGGACCUACGACCUAAAGAAGGGAAAGCUACGAAAGAGAAAAGAAGAAGAUCCAACUCAAAUGUAAGGGAAAGAAGCACCGAGAAACUCAUAAUCCUUGUUGUUAGUUAGAUUCUAAAGAAAGAAGUGUCAAAUCACUUGUUUUAAGCAUCCAGAAAGUCGCAUUGGAUAUAAGCAUCCAGAAAGUCACAUUGGAUAUUUGUAUAUAUAUGUUUUUAAGUGGUCAAACAAAGGCAAGGAGAAAAGAGGGAAGCGAUAUCAAGGUAGAAUCCUUAGAAGUGAAAGUAUCAAGUCACUACGAAAGUCAAGUUCCAGUAUAGUAUUUGAUUUCUCUUGUGUUAUAUUUCUUAUUGUUAGAUUCAUUAUUAAUUACUAGACUUCCAUUCCAUUCAUGGUUUACUAAACACUGGGCCAACUCUGCCCACUGCCCCAUUUGUUUCCCACUACACUACCGUCUACAAUACUCGAGUACCAAGUGGCCCAAUUGAGGAUAGGAUAACUCCACUUUCUGGGAAUUGCUCAUUACCUCGUAAGCCUUACAAAGAGAAGGGGCUGCUAGUAAGGUGAAGCAUUAAGGCAUAAAUCGAUGCUAAUCCCCGACUGCAUAGCAAGCCGAUGUUAUAAAGUCAGUCGAUGCCUAGCUCCUAGUGUGAAGGCCAGCAAUCUCUCGUUUAUCUAAAGAAUCCCAUUAGCGGUUAACAGGGCUCCUAACCACCUGGCAAUCUUCACCUUCUUUAGGGUGGGGGACAUUCUCUGUCUUAGGCGAAUCAAUCUCUAUGGAGGGCCAAGUCACUACUAGGUUUAUGCUUUUACUACUGAGUUUCAUUCUGUAUUCUGCUAUUCUGUAUUUCAAUAAGGAUUCCAUUCCUGUUGAAAGAGUUGAACUAGUGCUUUACAGGCUCUCUAAACACCCGACCUCCACCCUAACAAGUAAGUCAACUAAGUCAGUAAACAAAGUCAGUAAACCAGCCGACCCGAGCCUAGUAACAGACUUUGGGCUUCCUCCUAGACUACUAUACUACGCCUCUCCUCUGUAAACUCAUUCUUAUUUCAAAACUUCAAGUCGAGUGUCUCACUCAGGUGCCUCCGCUCCUAUAACGGAAUUAUGACUUGCUUCCAUCUUACUUGAAACAAGAACUCCCGGCUCAGCUAACUCCGGCUACUCUCUUAUAGAAUAAGAAUACCUCUGGCUCCGCUUUGAAACUUAGACUUAAGCUUCGAAUACCGGAAUUGGUCACUAAGCCCUUGAAUCACUGGUAGCAAGGCUCGAACUCAAGCUUCAGAUCUCGUUGCCAAUACAUACGGAUGAAAUAAGAAAGGGGCAGAUCUUGUAUAAGACUCAGAGUUGAACCAGUUAAGUAGAAGGCUAAGAAUCUAAGUAGCAUCCUUUUCUAUGACCAGAAAACCUAAUCUAGUAUCAGAGGGUAACUGCGCUCUCAACUCAAAAGUAUUAAUUGAACUCACAACUAGGAAUACAGAAUUACAGAAUGGAACGGCGUAGUGCUAGUCUAGUUCACGGGCUCCUUAGCUAGUGUUCGGCAACAAGAACUAUCACUCCUACAUCGGCUUAUCCAACUCAGGCUACAAUAACCAUCCUAAGGCUCUCAUCUCGCUGGCAACUAUCUAAUCUUGCCGAAGUCAACUAACUACUACUGACCAAGGCCUAAACUUACUAUAAGAGCUGACACUCUAACCAUUAACUUCAGGGCUGCAAAGCUACUAUAAUACAAUACCUGGCACCCGAGAUACCCGAUUGCAGCUUACCUCGCCCGAUAGACCCAUACUAGUGUUUGUUCCCUUGCUUGCUCAUUUGCCGCUGAUAGUUCCGUUGCUAGGCUUUGAAGCGAGUCUAAGAGUGGAGUUCUCUCUUGUGUUUGCGACUCGAGAAGAAUCAGUGUGAACUCCCGAAACCUAGACAUCUUUUCAUGAUGAUUUGAAUGUUGCUUCAGUGUUCGAAAGAUUCCAUGAAGUAUUUGUAGCCUAAACACCAACAGUCUUUACAGCCAGGUUAAUUAGAUAGAAGCGGUUAAUUCUAUACAUGAGAGAGGGAUUCCCCAAAACGUUACUUGUUAAUAACUCUACGGAGGCGAAGAAAGGACGUAGGUCAGAUUACUCCUUUAUAUACAGAGGCAAUAAAGAUUCCUGUCCUGGUUUACAAGGCGCAACAAGUAUUGUUUCGGGAGUUUCUCCUAAAAUCCUAGAUUACAAAACAUUAGUGAAGAAAUUUCUCUUUGAUUGAGUUGAACAAGCAACUAAGCUAAGAUCAGAGGUUAGCAAAGGGUAAGCUUUGUUUAGUAUAUAAUAUGAGUUUGUUUGGUAAUCAUAGUGAGAAAUUAGAUUCUUUUUGUUUAUAGCAGGUGUCAGUUCAAUAUCAAUUCCAGUUUGCGAGAGGAGCGGACUUGACUGUUUCUAAGACGGAGCUACUACUAUAGUAAACCAACUAUACUGCCUCUUCUGGGCUUACUUUCAUUACCUUACCGCUUAAUCGCAUUCUUUCACUUAGUGUUAAACCUCUAAGACUUGAAUCACUGCCAACAAGACUUACUUUAGUGUCAAUAAUACCGUAACUAAAAACUAGGAAUUCCACUGGCUUUCAGCACCUUGCUUUAAAACAGGAGUUAGUGCUUCUCUGACUUUCACUUUUACCUAUGAUCCUGACUUUCCCGCUUUUCACUCUUGAACCACUGAAAUAAAGCUUUACUGCCUGUAGGUCUUACUCUCCUUUUGAAUCAAGCUGGAACACUGCCCAAUGGAAUAAAACCACUAACAAUAAGAACAGAACAGGGGCCUACAAGACUGAACCAAGCCCUAUAGCUGAUAAAACUAGUGAGACCAAUACUUCCACAAAUCAAUAGGAAUCCUCAAAAAGAGAUACGGAGCGAAACCUGUGCUUCUCAUACGAUAACUUAUAGUAAAGAACUGAACGAACAACUAGGAAUUCUGCUAAUAAGAACUCGACUUGGAACUUUGCCUUUGCCCCCUUGCUUGGAAACUUUGACUUAUAAUAGUGAGUCUGUCCUUUCAACGGGUUGAUAUGAAUCUAGAUCGUCGAGCUCAAUUUCUAUCUUCUAAAUAAUAUAGCUAAUAGGUCUUGCGCUGGUGGAGGAUUCGAUCAGUUCCCAUCAAAAUAUGGAACUCAACGGGGUCGGUCAGUGUGGGUGUGGUGAAUACGCAUGCUCGCACGUAGAUCAGACCUCAGUGAAUGACUUAAUCUGGUAACCCUUUAACCCAGCCCUUAAUUCUACCUCCUUCCAUACUAACGAAGGUCAGUUUCUUAUUAAUUUAGCAGUUUCUUAUUCCUUUUUUCGCAUAGCAGGUAUAGCCUAAGAAUCCUCUCAUUGAUCCUGCUGGUCUAGCCUACAACUCAUCCUCCUAUUCUAUGGAUCCUUCCAGUCUAGCCAACACCUAAGAUUCUGAUUCUAUGAAUCCAGCAUCGCUUCAAAGUCCUUCCCCUUCCAUUAGUCCAAGAUUCAAUCAUACUCCAAUUGCCAGGAGAUCUCAUACACAAUAAGAUAUGGCUCCAGGUAAAAAGGUCUAUAACCAAGAAAUGUGCAAGCGAAACCAUGCAAUCAAACGAUUUCGAGCGUCGCAAGGAAGCAAAUGCAAGCCUAUAGUCUAGUAUGCUUUCUUUCGUUUAACCUUCCUAACAGUCCAAGCCUCUAGUAUGCUUUCGUCUAACCUUCCUAACCGUCCAAGUCUCUAGUAUGCUUUCGUCUAACCUUCCUAACAGUCUAAGCCUCUUCUUUCAGUUUGAGACAAAUCCCCAAUGACACAGUAAUCAUCUCUGUUCUGACUGUUGCAAGAAUCGGUCAAAGCUCUUUAAAGAUCCGCUCCUUUCUUUGAUUCCGAAAACACUAUCUUUCCUGUUCCAUAAAAUGAGUACUUGAUCUGGCACCUUUUAUUCCACUGAUAUAACAGCCGCCUUGCCUUCCUUCCUUCUUAUGAUGAACUUAGCCAGUAACCCAAAAGCAUCGAGAAAGGUCCAGUCCAUCCAGCAUCUUCUUUUAUAUGAUCAUCAGAUUCUUUGUCCGAGCCGAGCUACCUCUUCGAAUCUUACAGCAGGACAAAUCAAACCAUUAUGAACCUUUAAGGUUUCCAAUUCAAAACCUAACAAUUAGAAUGGAGUUUUGCUCCCUUUAUGCAAGAUUGAUGUAUUCCCACUAUUUUGCAAAUCCAAUAGUUCACCAUCUUGAAUAGAUAGUCAUAAGAAUGAUUUUGUGAAGGCAUUGGGAUCGCCCAUUUCGGCGAGAGAAACCUAACCCUAUUCUAUCACAACUUCUUCCUGACAAGAAUCAAAGGGCAGGCAAAGGCACCAAUCAAGAAAUGAUAGAGUAUUUGUCGCACCGUUGAGUCCACCAAUUUCGAAGCGGAGCUAGUCCCCUCCUUGAGAAGAGAGAGAGCUAGAUCGAUUUGGGCUCUAGAUUUGAUGCACUGUUUGUUUGGAUAAAGCGGAAAAGACUAGCCAUCAACAAGGAACUCCUAGAAAGGGAUAGGACCCAUACCUAACGUUUUCUUACCUGAUGUGUAGAAAUAUUGAAAGCUUAUGUCUUGACUUAAACAAUGCUUUUGGGGGAAAUCAAUUCCAGUCCUAUCCUGAAGUGCCCUCGAUUUGACUGUUGUAGGAAAGGUAGAUCGGAGCGAACCCACUAGAGAAACCUGCUAAUCGAAUCCGCUUAAAACUCAUCGACCCGGAAGUUAAGACAAGACUUAGACUAGAAAACGAAAAAGUAUACUGGUUGCAAGCCCAUAUCACCUGUGCCAGCCUGUUGAAAAGCCUUGAGGCUUCCGCCCAUUGCCUACGUAACCAAGCCUGUUCCCGAGAGCAAAGAGUGAUAACAACUUGCUCCUCAGAGAGUAUUGGUUAUUGGUUAUAAGUUCUAUCGCUUACUUUCGAAAGUUCAGUUUUCAUUGACAAUUGAUUUAUCGCAUAAGUAUAAGUUGAGGCAGGAUCACGGAUUGUCUGGAAAGGUAUGGUUUCAUGAGAGCGGGAGAGCGAGCAAAAUACGAGAAGCGAGCACAGAAAGCAAAGCGAAAUAAGGAAGUGCAGAGGCAAGUGAGUCAAUUGCUGUGGGCGUGUUAUCAAGACAUCCUUUUGGUUAGGCACAAGUAUCCAAAGAGUAUAUUACCCCCUUGCUUGAAACUCAAUAUCAUCCAUUUCAUUUGAAGCCAGUCCCCUAAACCUAUAGAUGAGCACAAGGCAGGCAAACCAGUUCUCAAAAGCAAGUGUGAGUUGGAAAGGAAACCCGAUUUCUGGUCUUCAGUCUUCAAGCUUGAUCAAAAAGAGUCGAAUUUAUGUUAUGUCUUUAUGGUUCUACGACGCUAUACUAGAGUUAGGGUUUUCACUGUUACGGUUUGUUCAGGAAAGAUGAAAUAUCAAAUAGAAUGCCAGCUCUUGUGCCCUUCCCGUAUCCAGGAUUCUUUCUAAAGCCCGCCAUUGUUAUAGUGCAUUUUGUAGAAUUUCCAGUAUGAUAGAGAUAGCUUGGAAAGUAGGAUCUUCAGUAUGAAUGAAAAGUAGAACCUUGAAGUGUGUUUUAAAACCGAUAGGGAUCAGGGGCGUGAAAACGUAUUGGGGAAGUCCGCGAGAUUCUUUUGUCUAUUAUGUAGUCAUGCCAGUAGAAGCUUGUUAAACUAAGUGUAGAUAGUUCAUUGUCUUGUAUAGUUAGAGAGAGGAAUUUUCUUUGGUUGUGAAGGCUGUAGGUUUUGUACUUAGUUAGCACUCUGGACUGCUUAUCUCGAAGCUCUGGUUGAAUAACAGUAUACUUACUUGCUUUCUUUCACUCAACAAUAAGUUCUUCCGGGGACCAAAACGAAACGAAGAAAGAGGUAGCCUUUCCUUAAGCGUCCCUUCGCCUCAGUUGGUCAGGUCAAACUAAGCAUUCGUUCGGAGUUGCUAUGAGAAGAGAUACUCCACAGGCCAAGUUAACCGCCGCUACUACGUUAGGUAAUGUCAAUUUGAUAGUAAUGGUUUUCUUACUUGUUAGUUGCAUUCUGUAUCUUAUAAGUUUCAUUCUAAGGUCAAGUGAGUAUCAUUCUUUUACUACAGCAGCUCUUGUCUUCAUCGUAUCAGCUAAGGCGUCAGUGAGAGUUUUUGAAUGAUUUGUUUAAUGUGGCUCAACAAAGAAUUUCGCAAAAAUCUAUUGGGGGCAGGGUACUGGGUUGUUUCAUCCCCAGGGGAAUCCUAAACUCAAUGGAAUUCUUCACUUCACAAGUCGAGGGCAGGUCGUCAAAAGGUUAUCCGGAGCUAUUCAAUGAACCCUGCUGGCAAAAGAAUCUAGUAUUGGCUUUGAAGCAAGCUUGAGUCGAGGGCUAUUCAAUUUCUUCGCUGCUUGUUUGCUCUUUCACUUAAGUCAGAAAUACAGAAUACUGCUAAGAAGAGACGGUAUGACCCGGGGCUCCUGCCGCUCUAGAUUAGGACUCUGGGCCAAGCAACGUUGCCAGGCAAGCGGUUCACUAAUUCCCGUGUUUUGGUGAGUUACUAGCUUCUCGAGUUCUACUACAAAGAUAUUACUUAGGUUCAAGAGAAAGACAGGGUGAAUAGAAAUUCUCUGAUUCAAUUGAGAACACAUGGUUGUUUACUUAUAUCUUAUUAACAUAGAGCUAAUUCUUCUAUAAAGAGAAAUACUACUGAUUCAACUCGCCCAGCAACUACUAGAGCAAUACAAAAUAAUGGAAUUGCAUUUGUUGACUACGGAUAGGUAGGCUCGGUAAGCUAUUCAAGGAGUUGGCUAAAGUCCAAGUAGUAGUCCUGUUUCAAAAGAGCAUUAAGUGAAAGGUCGAGUGAUAAAGUGAGGCAAGGGAAAAGAGGGGAGCAGACUAAGAAGGCCAUAGGUGUUACUAAUUUGUAUACGAGGUGUAACAAAAGGUGUAGCAAAAGGUGAACUCUCUCUGGAAAGGAACAGUUCUCAAGUCUGGGUGCGAAGUAUGGGUAUCUAGAAUGAGCAGUGCCUGUUCGAGGUGUGGAAUCUGUCUUUGUUGUAUGAGUUGACAGAGGAGAGGUUGCCAGCAGCUUAGCUUGUUUCAAGAGAAGAAAGAGAUGUUACCAGUUGCCAGAGGUCGGCAAGCUUUGACUAAUGUUGCGCGUCAGCGAGCCUAACCGGAUCCGCUGAAGAGUCAUUCUUAUAUUAGUAGGAGCCAAGCUACCACCCAUACAAGGCUAUUAUUACUUCUCUCGAAUCUCAGAGAGCAGGGCCAUUCUUAUACUUUAAGAAAGAGGUGGUUCGGUGCUUUACCAGAGGCAGUGGAGGCAGUAUAAAGUACGGAAGCUUCCCUAGCGCCUGUUCCGAUACUAGAUUCUUCCCAACACCCAGCUUUCCAGGCAAUUGCUAACAUUAAUAAGGCUAAGGUCUAAUGCGUAAGAUAAGAGAUGCUCCAGUCCCAGUCAAGGGGUAGAGCAGAGACAAAAGCAAGAAAUCCAGAAAGAAAGUAGGUUCUCUGUAGGUAGGCAAUGAAUUAAACAAGCUACUCCUUUUGCGAAGAAGCGGGAAUAGAAGCAGUGCCUGUUGAGUCAGUAUUGCUAGUUGACAGAGGUAGCUACCAAGACUUGCUCUGGACCUAAAGGUAGAGAAUAGAGUUUACUUAAGCCAGAACUACUACUACUCAGGGGAAUUGGUCACGCACGAGGAUAUCAUUUCUGUCUCAUCUGUCCCAGCCGGUAGGUGCCGGGAAAGUGUUUCGAGAGUCCCUUUCCUCUCUCUCUUCUUUAUAAAUCAACUAAUAGCUUCCCUUUUCCUUUAGCACCCCUGAGCCAAGUUACAUGUUCUGUUGAGAAACCAAAUGCUUCACUUGCUACUGGAUACCUUACUGUUGAUUCUACAGCUUUUGUACGAUACUAAACUCAAACGAGAAAACGCUUAUGGCUUCCUUGCCUUGACUUUAUUCUGCUUCGAACAAUACUUUCAUAGCACUUUCGUCAACAAGGAUAUCUUCCUACCCGGCUUCUAUCGUAAAUGAUACUCGAGCAGAACAGGAACUGGUAUUCGAUGAAAGGUACUUUGUUUAUUGAGUUGGGCUGAGCUGGGCCAUAAUCUCGGGAACCCCUAUUUCUGCAUUGCUUGCUCAAAAACUCUCAACUAACGCUAGAUCUAGAUGAAGCUCCACUCCGUUAGCACAAUGAAAGCCAGUUCUUUCGCCAAAGGAUAUGCACGACAACCCACUCUUCUCUUAUAUAUGUAGGUUAUUAAGAAACAUGCACCUCAAAAAGAGUCACUUCCCUCUAACCUCUACGGCUUGUGUAACUUCCCUCUACUACUUGUUUGGUAUUCAACUCUAAACAACAGGCUCUGCUCAGGCUCCGGCUACUAAUCUCACUCUCCUCUUGCAACUAGCCAAUCUCUCUCCGACUUAAUAUAAGGGCUGACCUGACCGAGUUUCAUCCGUUCUCCUAUAGUAAGUAAAAGAAUCUAGUUGACUUACCGGUCUACUGGGCAAUUACUUAGGGGCUUAUGAUUCUAUAGUUUCCUUUACUCGAACAGCUUAGGAUCCAGAUCUACUGGCCUCUUUUCCUUAUGUGUCGGCGUAGUUACUUAAAAAGACGAGUAUGAAGUGCACUGAAGAAAGUCGCUUAUAUCUUUUUAUAUGAAGUAGCUUAUCUCUUUGUCUAGCAGUUGCCUGCCCCUUACGAAAUGGUUCGCUCACUCCUUGUAUAGGAUCAUUAAUAAUAAAGAAUCCAAAAGCAAAACUCGUAUUGGGUAGGGCCCGAGCUUGAAAUAUAGAGGCUGGGCUAAGUAUCAAAAUCCAAAGGACUCUACUGGCGUCAUCGUAAUAUAACAAGUAGCGACAUCCGCCUUGAAUCUGAAGUGGGAGACCAUACACGGAAUUCCCCCCGGCCCGGUCAACCUUAGGAGACUUUUCUUUGGAAACGGGGAAGGAGUAAGUCAACCGUCUAGCUCGAAACAGGCAACUCGAGUUCACCAAUGCCACAACGAAUGCGAAAUAACCCGACGUUAAGGCACCGAUGGAAUCUGGUUCAGCGUACGUCCUCGGCGACCGCAAUCCUUGGAGCAUUCACCAAAAGUGGAUGGGAACUCUUCCGCUUCUAUAGGUUCAAAUCCUUAGAUAGGUCGAAGAGGAAAAUAAGUGCAAAGUCCCCUCCCCCGGUAAGCAAGCCUUUAACCUCGACUCGAAGCUUUACCACUAGCUAUGACCUUUGCUAAAUGUCUAGAAAGCCUCAUACCCACGUUGAUUAGAAAGGUGAGUUGGGCGCAAGUCAAUAAAAUCCUGAGAAAAACGGACCCUAGAUCUGAUUCUCACACCUCUCCCAUUCAUUCUAUUUUCAAAUGGGAAGCGAAAUAAUGGAUAAGGAAGGGUAGAUAAAGAUCUAUAGAAUAUACAACAACAGGGCGGGCCUUCCUCCGGGGCGAAUAACAAUGGUGUGUGUGUGUAUAGAUUCUCAAAGACUUCAUUUCGCUGCCAACCCUAGUAAGCAAGCGGAAAAGCCCUUUCUUGGAUUUCUGUAUAGGGAAAUGCCUCGCUCGGAUAGGAAAACCAGAAUCAAGAGAGAACCUUUCAACAGCUUCGGUCGCAUCGGGCUUACGAAUUCCUUUGUGAACUUGAAUCGGCCAUUGUCUUUUCCCCAGGUGGUAAAUAACUGACUUAGGCUAUAGCAACCCUCAGAAGACAUAUCCACCUUUAUACUUAAAGGGAGGAGCACACCAACUCUCAGAAGAAUUCCUAGCCUUACAACAACAAUACGCUACAAAUAUCUGAUUAAUGAUGAAUUGGGCCAAAGACGAAACCAAACACGCCCGGAGAUUGCUACUGUGAUGCUUAUUGGGCGGUCUAUUCUUUUAGGUCGAUUUCGCUUGUUUCAAAGUGGACUGACUAGACAAACGAAAUGGCACUAAAGCUUUCACCUACCUUAUACACCACCUUGACGAAAUGAAGUAAUUCCUCUGAUCAGGGAGACAGGCCUUUUCUAUAGAAACCCGUGACACGUGGAACAACAAGCGAUUCCGUAGAGAAAGAUUGGAAACUUGCCGGUAGAUCAACUGACAUGGUCUACGAUCAUAAAACGACGAUAGGGCCUUGGCUUCUUUUGCUAGCUUUUACCUAACCCUUUCGUAUAACCUGAGGUCGCUUUUUCCAAAUUGGGGUAUUGUCUUGGGACUUCCUUUGUCUCUCUCAUAACGCCAUGCUUCCGGCGGAUGCACCUUUCCUUUCCUACCUGCAGAAGCAACGAGUGGUCAUUAUGAGCUCAUGGGGGCUGUGCAACCGUUCCUUAGGCAGAACAACGCCCCUUCCUUCUUUGACGGAGCCAGCUUCACCUGUUCCAUCAGACUCGUUUUGGCUUUGGCCUUCGAGUUCACGAGCACAAACAAAACCACCAGAGCUACCUGUGGAGCCAGAAAAUAAGGUUCUUAAAGAAAAGACGGUUAUGAAAGAAAGCAGUGCCAGUCUACUAUUUUGUAGUCGCUUGUUGAGUAGUGCCUUGGUGGCUCAGAUAAGAGAUAAAAGGAAUUACCCUAUCGCGAAAAGAUGAAACGAGCAAGCAAGGAUGCCAGGAAGUGAGAAAGGUGUUGAUUCCUCUGAUACGCCCUUGUCUCCUGUCUUCCCUAUAAAGAGAUUUGUUACAAAUGAACUAUAACAUAACUUAUGCGGUGUUGAUGGCAAAUACAGUUCCAUCUAUUAGGGUAAGUGUUUUCAUUCCGAUAUGAGUAGCUAAAUUCUCUUAGGUUCGCGAUCCCACGAGACUAAACCCGCUCAGAAGAUAUAUUACUGAGAAUUUAUAUACAAGAGGAAUUUCCACCAACUCCUUGAAACUCUGGGUAGUGCAAAGAAUUCUUUCACUUACACUGAUGCGGACUCCUCUCCUGUAUCUUCACUUGCAGAUUCCCUUUUGUCAACCUCAGAUCUUAGAGUAGAGCCGUUACAACUUUGAACACCAAAAUGAGGAUCAGAGAUUCACCCGACUCUGGAAAGCCAAGAAAAGAACUCCAUCCACAUCCACUCGAAGUAAACAUCUCGCUUAAAAGCCAGUAAGAUACUAUGAUUCCGCCAUGCCCUUCUUUAACCCGGAUCUUGAUAUAGAGCUUCUUCUCUCUUCGUAAACAAAUAUUCCACAAAUACUAAUAUUCCACAAAGGAUUCAACAAGAACAGGGGAACUUCGGAUUCUUCAGCCAGACCCUACCCCAGCUCCGACUCCUGGAACUGUUGCUCAUCCUUAACCAGUAAAUGAUCCAGCUCUUUCCCCUGCAGUAGACUAAUAGCCUGUAUUCUGACUUAUGAGUUGAGAGCGUAUAAAUACAGAAUAGAACUUCACCCCAGGAAACUCCAUUCUGAAAGGAGAGAGCACAUGGUUUGGUAGUGACUUCUUCUAUGAAACCCCUAUCGCUAAUGAUUCUGUUUCUGGACUUGGAGAGUGACAUUAAGAAAUGGGGUAUCGGUACUGUCGCAAGUCAACUCAAUUAAUUAGUAAAGAAAGAGAACUAGGAUUGGUUACCGGAUUCCAUUAGACCGAGUGAGGCUCCAAAAAACAUCUAUUGUAAUAGAAAGAGUGGAGCGGCCCCAAAAGCAUCUAUUGUAAUAACUUGUCAUAUCUAUUACCUUGGCUACCGCACUUAGUCUUGCUUAGCCUAAAACUCACUGCCGCGCCACGUUAGUAGUGUCUUGGCGGUCGUUAGUAGUUGCUUGGCCUAUUAUUAUUGCUACCGCACAACGCGAGCACAUGUAUUGUAAUAACUUCGUUAUGGCUAUCACUUGGCUGACGCACAACAUUAGCAGUUGUUUGUCCCGUUGCUUGGUGCGUAACAUUAGUAGUUACUUGGCCCUAUUAUUAUGGUUAUUACCUUGACUUCGAUACUCCACUCUUAAUACGCUAGGCUAGAUCAUACCUUAUUAUCAUAUUCUUUAUAGUACUUUCUUUCCUGACAAAACUCACUAGCACACCCCGAGAAAUAAGCUUAAGCAUUUAUUCGUAACUAAACUAGUCUUCCGCUUCAGUAGCCCGAGUAGAGGCACCCGUGACUUAUGGAAUAAAGUAAACAAAUGCAAAUGGAUUCCUUUAAGAACGACUUACUCUCUAGAACGGCUGACUUUCAAGAACAGCUCUGACUCUCAAGAAACGAAUGGAGGCAAAACAGCAUAGAGUGAAACCGGUGAACUCGCGCUAGCUGAAGAAGAUAAUGGAGGUGCUCCCAUUUUCAGCUGUUGUUAGUUGGGCGAGUGCUCAGUAAACGUGAACAAAAGGAAGAGAAUUUUUCUGUAUAACCUAGGAAUGGAAGAUGGUGAACAAAAGGAAGAGAAUGACUUCUUUGUAAACUCUACUCUUUUCUUUAUAUGUUGUAACUUGCUUGUUCUACCUUGAUAUGUUAUUUGUGAUACUUGCAACUUUGUCUCGCUGGACUUGCAACUUGAUACUUGACUUCGAGCAGAAAGAAUAGAAUUGGCUGCUAACUAGCCUCAGAUUACCUUUUAUCCACAGGAGCGACAGCAUCGGCGGAGUUUAGCUUCACAUUGCUGUAAAGGGAAUGCUUGAAAGGAUGGAAAGGAAAGAGAUAACAAUGGAUUCUCGUAAGUCUAUAGCUGCCCCAUCUAUAUUAGAAGAAACUAGAAGAACCACUACUACACUCGCAGGCAGGGCUUACAUUAAGGAUAGAAGUAUUUACUUGACCUUUUGAAUGCUGCAAUUUGAGAGGCGGGUGAAGGCACUGGUACGUACUGGCUUAGCAAAAAAGAAAGAGAGCGAACUUGACUUCUUUCAAACUCAUUUUGUUUCCUAUUUAUUUAUAUGUCAAUCUUUUGAAUGGUUUUACUGGCCUGGCAACGAACUCUGUAUCAAAGGAAACUAGCUAUGCAUACAUAAAAUCAAAGAAGGUAGUGGGAAAACGGAGAAAAGAAGGUAGUGGGAAAACGGAAAGGCCCCUAGCCACUAUUCGAUUUCUAUUAUAGGCUGCGCUUAUGUAUCCNNNNNNNNNNNNNNNNNNNNNNNNNNNNNNNNNNNNNNNNNNNNNNNNNNNNNNNNNNNNNNNNNNNNNNNNNNNNNNNNNNNNNNNNNNNNNNNNNNNNNNNNNNNNNNNNNNNNNNNNNNNNNNNNNNNNNNNNNNNNNNNNNNNNNNNNNNNNNNNNNNNNNNNNNNNNNNNNNNNNNNNNNNNNNNNNNNNNNNNNNNNNNNNNNNNNNNNNNNNNNNNNNNNNNNNNNNNNNNNNNNNNNNNNNNNNNNNNNNNNNNNNNNNNNNNNNNNNNNNNNNNNNNNNNNNNNNNNNNNNNNNNNNNNNNNNNNNNNNNNNNNNNNNNNNNNNNNNNNNNNNNNNNNNNNNNNNNNNNNNNNNNNNNNNNNNNNNNNNNNNNNNNNNNNNNNNNNNNNNNNNNNNNNNNNNNNNNNNNNNNNNNNNNNNNNNNNNNNNNNNNNNNNNNNNNNNNNNNNNNNNNNNNNNNNNNNNNNNNNNNNNNNNNNNNNNNNNNNNNNNNNNNNNNNNNNNNNNNNNNNNNNNNNNNNNNNNNNNNNNNNNNNNNNNNNNNNNNNNNNNNNNNNNNNNNNNNNNNNNNNNNNNNNNNNNNNNNNNNNNNNNNNNNNNNNNNNNNNNNNNNNNNNNNNNNNNNNNNNNNNNNNNNNNNNNNNNNNNNNNNNNNNNNNNNNNNNNNNNNNNNNNNNNNNNNNNNNNNNNNNNNNNNNNNNNNNNNNNNNNNNNNNNNNNNNNNNNNNNNNNNNNNNNNNNNNNNNNNNNNNNNNNNNNNNNNNNNNNNNNNNNNNNNNNNNNNNNNNNNNNNNNNNNNNNNNNNNNNNNNNNNNNNNNNNNNNNNNNNNNNNNNNNNNNNNNNNNNNNNNNNNNNNNNNNNNNNNNNNNNNNNNNNNNNNNNNNNNNNNNNNNNNNNNNNNNNNNNNNNNNNNNNNNNNNNNNNNNNNNNNNNNNNNNNNNNNNNNNNNNNNNNNNNNNNNNNNNNNNNNNNNNNNNNNNNNNNNNNNNNNNNNNNNNNNNNNNNNNNNNNNNNNNNNNNNNNNNNNNNNNNNNNNNNNNNNNNNNNNNNNNNNNNNNNNNNNNNNNNNNNNNNNNNNNNNNNNNNNNNNNNNNNNNNNNNNNNNNNNNNNNNNNNNNNNNNNNNNNNNNNNNNNNNNNNNNNNNNNNNNNNNNNNNNNNNNNNNNNNNNNNNNNNNNNNNNNNNNNNNNNNNNNNNNNNNNNNNNNNNNNNNNNNNNNNNNNNNNNNNNNNNNNNNNNNNNNNNNNNNNNNNNNNNNNNNNNNNNNNNNNNNNNNNNNNNNNNNNNNNNNNNNNNNNNNNNNNNNNNNNNNNNNNNNNNNNNNNNNNNNNNNNNNNNNNNNNNNNNNNNNNNNNNNNNNNNNNNNNNNNNNNNNNNNNNNNNNNNNNNNNNNNNNNNNNNNNNNNNNNNNNNNNCAGCAAUUGACGGCUCAUUUGCUCUAUCCCUUUAUUCAGCAAUUGGAUAAGCUAGGACUGAAUAUAGCUUUGAACUGUAAACUAAGCAGAGAAGUAAGGGGCUGGAUAUAAGGCACUAAUGGCUAGAUUUCUUUCAAUGUCUUAGUAAUCUUUACCGGGGUCAGGUAAAACUAUAUAACAAAGAUUGAGGUUUUAGUGGCAGUGUGUUAAUGGAGAUUGAUUAUUGAAGUUAAGGGAAAAUGUAUAUCAGCUGUUCUAUAAGUGUAACCUUCUUUCGAUGUUGGUCCAGUAUUAAUAAAAGCAAGCUAUCGCACAGGGUUGCUACUCAUUUAUUUCAGGCCAAAACCUAAUCUAUGGUAUCUGACUAUGGCUGUACACCAAAAAGUCUAAAGGAUAAGUGGUCAAGUGGGUCUCCUUAGAAUUUGGCAAUCCUUUGAUUUAUACCCAAGCUGAGUCUCCGUACGGUGAUUGGCUAGACAUCUCGGUUCGAGGGCAAAGAAGUCAGUUCUCAUUUUGAAGCCUUGUGUAGCUAGUAAAUCCUCUCCUCUAUAAUAUUGGCAUACCCUUAGAUUUCCUUCGCUUCGUAAAGUCAACUACAAUGGAAAGAGUGAAAAAAGGAGAAUGGAAAGAGUGAAAAAAGGAGUUGAACCCAGUACUUGAUAGUUUCUUUCAUUUGAAUCUAGUUUAUGGAAUUUGGAUCUAGUACCCCAUUGCGAGGGAGUUGUUUUAUAGUCUCUGUCCCUUUCGUAUCGCCUUGACCGAAGAAAGAAAUCCGUUUUGCAAUGAUGAGGCUAAGGCACCUCACAUCAGACCUUGCUAACCUGCGAUACUAUCUAAUGGAUUGGUGGUUUAGGUUUCUCACUCACUUUGGUUUUAUGCCCUGCCUUUCUUUGACUUAUAACCAUAAGGUUAAUGGGCUUUGCCACACCUUAUCUUGAGAAACGAAAAGGCUGUUUAUUAGCGGCAUUGCUGAACCGAAUACUUCACCCCUUCCCUUAGUGGUAUGGGUGAAAGGAGUAGCUACCUAUUCCUUAGUGGGCUUAUGGGUGAAAGGAGUAGCUACCUAGAUGAAUAAAGGACUUACUUAUACCUUCCUUUGGCAACAUUAAAGAAAGCACUCUGCUCUAUAAAGCUAGCGAUACGAAUUCCCAUUGUUUCGUUCAAUUAUAUGGGCUACUUCAUUUUCAUUAUAGUACAAAAGCUUAAGCUGGGGAUGUUGUUCCUAUUAUGUGGGGAUGUUGUUCCUAUUAUGCAAUAAAAAGAGAACGCUGGGGAUGUUGUUCCUAUUAUGUAAUAAAAAGAGAACGCUGGGGAUGUUGUUCCUAUUAUGCAAUAAAAAGAGAACAAAGAAGCUCAACUGGAUUUCUAAGGUUAUAAAUGAUUCUAUUAAGUAGAAAAAUGAGAGUCCUGCAACGCUGGCGAGUUACCUCAUUGCAAGCAAGCACUGGUGCUACUGGAAUGGGCCUAUACCCAUAACCUUAGUAUCGGAAACCCGUGUAUGAGGUGAAGGUAAACCUACAAUUGGUCUUUGAACCUACUAUGAAUGCCAUUAAACCCACUCGGACAUCAGACAUUAGUUUACGCACCUAUAUAUCUUGUUUUGGAGAAAACUAAUACAUCAGUCAACAAGAAACAAAUACCUAAGUGAAAGAUUGCCUGUAAAGUAAUCUCGUGAAGAGGUAAUAUGGACCAUUAGAAGGAGCAAUAGGCUGGAUGAUCUAAGGUAAUAUGGACCAUUAGAAAGAGCAAUAGGCUGGAUCUCAUAAUAAGGACGAUAAUCAAAUAGCGGACACAACAAAGUACAAAAGCCUAGAAUAAGCUGUAAGUAUCUAAAAGGGCUUGGAGAAGACAACUCGCACCUCAACCAAUAAAAUGGGGAAUCGUUAUUCACCCGAUGAAUAAACUGCUUAAGAAAGAACUCACGACACAUGAUAGGAGCUCUAACCCUACCUAAUAAGAAUAAGGGGUUGUUUCAAUCCGCAUUCAAAAGGAGUCAUUUCGAAAAGCACUGUUAUUACACAAUGGAUUCAUUUCUCCUACUUUAUGCCGGAGUUAAGACAGCCUCCUUCCUAUUGGACAAUAGAUGAUGAUUGAACUCGCCCCCCGUAAAGUAUACCAGAGCACCAACUAUUCUGAAUUUCCAAUCAAAAGGAAGUGCUAGGAAUAAGGUCCCAGAUCCACAUAAUACGGUGGGUGCGAAUAAGAAAGAAGUGGGUGUGUGAAGAAAGUGGAUAAGAAGAAGAAAUUCCAGAAGUCAUGUUACCUGGAUGAGCUAAGGUAGCUCUAAGAAGUGGACAUCCGCUGUGUCUGCUGGAUUAAGGCGGAAUACUAUUCCCGUGAAAGAGGAAUCAUUGGCAGAAACACUUUAAGAAGCCCUAGAAAUAACGGAAUCGCUUGUUCAUUAAUGCCCUUAGAAGGAAUCAUUUAAUGCCCUGUUAGAAGGAAUCAUUGGAAAAAGGAGGAGACGCAGAAAAAAGGAGGAGACGCAGAUCGGCCGGGGUUCUUUCCAUAUAUAUAUAUAAAUAGUAAACAAAAGGGAAUGAGUUCACCAAAUAGACCGUUCGUAUAGACAUUUACUCGGCUUGGAUCGAUAACAAAAACAUAGAAAGCCUUAGUAAGGAACUGAUAUUGUGUUUUAAAAAGCAUUAAAACUAGAUGCACUCAUUUAUUAUGUGCUUUAUAGGCUUUCUUCGGAGCCCAGAAUUGAUGCUUAUUAGAGAAAUUACCACCCUACGUAAUAAGUUCCAUGUGUAUGUGCACACUUAAAGCUCGCCCCUUUGAAGGGUGUGGGAGGAAUAUAAGUCAUUGCUUAUGUAUCCUUUAUUUGGAGAUCUAAUGUCUGAGAUCAACGAGAACCACCUAUGAUUCUUUAUCAACCCAUCAGAUGCUAAUAAUGAAAAACUCAUGCUUUAGAAGCUGUCCUAUUAGCUAUUCUAGCCACCUAUUGUAUAUUUCAUACUUGGGAAAUGCUGUCCAAUCUGGGUCUUGAGUUCGGUAGUUCAGCCCUUUAAAAGCCACAGAGCUAUAGGUAGAAAACAUACAUACUUAUCUGAGUGCUUUGCUGAGAUGCAUCUUUCAUCUGGAUACGAUAAGUGGGUUAAUGGACUAUAUGGUGGACAGUUAUUCCCAUCGUAGCGUUGGAUGGUAGGAACUGACUUAUUGAAUGGAUUUGAUACUAUACUAUAAUGGAUUUGCUAUAAAUACUAUAGUUUGGGUCCAUAGCUUCUUUGUUGGAAUGUCCCGCUAACCGAACAUAUAUAUUGUAUUGAUUUGUUCAGAUGAAAGAAGAAAGUAGAGCUGAAGGAAGUGAUGCUAAGAAUAGCGACUUUUAGACUUCAAAUAGAUACUUAUCCAUUAGGUAUAUAAAUUCCAAGUGCUUCAGGGUUACAUACAAAUCCGUUAUGAAAGUGUUAUUCUUGCUUGUUUCCGGUUAGGAGGGAGGUCAGUCAGGUUCCGGUUAGGAGGGAGGUCAGUCAGGUUUCAUUACUUUUCCAGUAGGGUUAGCGCUUUAUGUUUGCUUGGUCGUUCGUGUCACCUACGUGCGGCUUGCACUAUUUCCUCUUCAGGGCCUACACUUGCCUUAGCUCAAGCCUUCUUACUACAAUACACAAAGCAGCUAAAAGAAAUCCACUACUUUGUUCAUCAAUCUGUUCAGCCACAGACUUCUUGCAUCUCCAUGCCCUUAACGAAGGUGCAUGCACUGAUUUCAUGGAGCUACAAACACCUCCACCGUGGGGAACGAAAUGAACUUAACUACACGUUCUUUUACCGGCGCAUUCCAGCGAAGCAAAAUGGAUAGCUCUUGCUUACUUAUAAGGAGCCCUGCAUAUAUUCUCCUCCGAUUCCGAUGAAUGACCCUAAAUGCCUUUUCCCCGUGCUCUUUCAAUGCAAAGCUUUAUGCAGUUUCAUUAUCCUAAGGGGAUAUACAAAGCCUGUUUCGAGAGGGGAAGGAAGAGGAGCACAACCGUAACCUUCGAAGCAAACAAAGCUUAGCGCUCUAAAAGCCCUAUGAUCCUGAGGGAGAGCCGGAAGUAUCGGAUAAGCUAGCAGUUUGAACCCAAAGGAAAGGCAGAGGUUUCUAAAGUGGUUGGAUUUUCCCAAGGCGGUAAAAGAAUAGGAUAGCUUGCUCUAUAGGCGGUAGGUCGGUGUAAUCAUUUUCUUAGUAUCAAAUGGAUUGCGCGCAAAGAAGAAGUUAGCCCCAUAUAGUCAUCAGUUUCAAGCCAGCGAGCUAGUCCAAAUCCGCUUUCUUUCGUUGACCAAGUUCAUCCUUUUUCUAAGGGUUUGAAAGGUGGUAAUAGACCUAAAGAAAGGGGUUGAGCUAUGGGGUUUCCUGACUUUUCUCUUACUAUUGCAGAAUGAAGCUAAACCCUUCCAUUCAUUGUAAUUUACUCGAGUGCCGGCUCAGUAGAAAGAAGGAUAUCCAUAGGGGUAAAGGGAAGCUAGAGAUAUGGACGCAAUUGCUUGAUUAGCGAGAACAUGAUCUCCUCGGGAAGCACUCGUUCCAGCUCAACAAAGGGGGUCCUCAUAGAAACAUAUAUAUAUAUAGUUAUACCAAAACAUAAAUGAUUAUGAGAAAUAGAAGCAGUUCUAAGUCAACUUAGCUCGAAAAGGAUUUAUUACUAGAAAAGAAAGACUAAUAUAAUGCGUGCAAAAGGCUGACCCCACAGGCUGACUAAAACUCUAUCGAAGCAUACAAAUUCGACUACUACUUGCUUAUUGCAGGGUCGUGAUGGACACUCUCUUCGUCUAGUCACUCUAUUAAGCUUUCGCUGCAAGUAUCUGGAAUGGGGUACGUAAAGAUUGCUAUUCAAAAGCAUCGUAAAGAAUUAUGCUUUCUAUCGGGGGAAUAGUCCGGAUAAGAUGACAAUUCUCUUUCCUUAUAUGGAUAAAGAUAUGGAUAAAGCCGUAUGUUAGGCCCACUUAUUAUUAAGGGUUGGUUGCUCGGUUUCCGCUCCUACUAAAAAAGAGUCAAUGGCAGGCUUUCAGCACCUUGCUCUUCGGGCUAAGGCAAAGAUGCUAACUUUGCAGUGGAAAGAGUAAUGAGAGGAAAGCGUUUCGAUAGGAACUCUUGAAAGCAUCACUUGCAAUUCCACCUUUUAUUGUUCUCUUGCCCCGUUGCCCAUUCAAGUAUAGAAAGAAGUUAGUGAUAAGGAAUGGCUUAGAACUCAUGAAGCUACGGAUGCAAUGCAACGUAUAUAUCGGACCAGUGCAACGUAUAUAUCGGACUUGAAACAGACAGAGAAAAGCUCUUCCAUCAGUGAAAAUAGCAUAGAGAGCAUCAUAUUAAGUUACAGAGCACUCCAGCCUUUUCUGUCCAUUCAUGUGCUGCUACUAGGGUCGUUAUGUUAUGCCACUUCCUUAGUUCCCCCCCCAUCCAAUCUUGUAUGCUCGUUACUGCCGUAAACAUAGUACUGAGUUUUGCCUGCUUCCGGCUUAGUUGGAGGAUCCUUCGGGUAAGUUUCCAAGUCUCUUCUGGAUUUAUGAAUUAUAGACUCAUAGAAUAAUAUUCUAUAAAUAAGGGUUAUUGUAUUUAUGAUAUUCUAUUUAUUAUGAUAUUCUAUUUAUUUGGAAACUAUGAUAUUUAUUGAAAUCUUAUUUCUUUCUUGGGCUUUGACCGGACAUGAAUGGACAUGCGAUAAGGUGCUCUCCCGACUCGGUUAAUGGGGUGGGCUCUUAAUCAUUCUCUGCUAGCUUUAGUAUCGGAGUACUUUGUACCAUCUAUUUUGGUGUGAUUGAUUUCUGUUCCAAAUCCUCGUCUUUCUUGAGAGUGAGUGAAUUCCAUUUAUAUCUUAUUAAAUACUAGGAAUCUGGAAGGUAGAUGGUGUGGGAAAGCAAGAAGGAAGAGAGCUAACCAGGGAAAGACCCAUGAGACAGUGUGAACUCUUUACUCCCUUCGCUAGCUCCACUCCUUGACCUAACUGAGGCUUACUCCCAGCUCUUUCUGUCUUCCCUCCCUGAACACCCAAAUACAGAAUACAAAUAAACCCAAUGAAACAGUGUGAACUCUUUACUCCCUUCGCUCUCCUUGUUCUUUCACUCCAAACAACCUUAACCAAGACAGCAGAAAAAGAACUCCCCAUUAAUAUAAGUAAGAAGACCUAACCGAGUCAACUACUAGAGAACUUGACUUUCACUCUUUACUCCCUUCGCUCUCAACAGAACAAAAAGAACUAAAUGAAACAGUGUAUAAGACCUCAGAGGAAUAACCCCAUUCAAGUGCUCUUGCUCUCUAGACCUAACCGAGUCAACCCCUAUCUUGCCUGUCCUGUGCCCUUAUUGGCUUUGGGAAAGAAUCAAUUCCUGAUGAUGCUAAUGCAGUGAUAGUUGUUGGUGACGAGAUAGUUUAUUGUGUUGGUGCUGUAGCUCCUAGUAAUAGAGUUGGGGAAAUAAGAUCUUUGCUAGGAUAAGAGGAGAGGUCUUUUACUACAUAACUUCUUACUGACGCGCAACGGGUUCACUGACGCUAUUAAUUAGGACCUGGUUAUAGUAGUAGUGACUUGUCUAGAAGUUGCUUGGCCCUGUCUUAUAGGCGGACUUUUGCCCCUCUUUGCUUUUAUUCUACAUUUGAUAUAGACAAUUCCGUAUUUCCUUACCGUAUAGUAUCAUAUGUUUUCUCAUAUUAGAUUUGUGAUUGGUUUAUUAGUGGUUUGCUUAGCGUAGUUGUAUGAAAAAACGGAUAUUGUGUUCUCUUAUUUAGUGGGUUCGUUUUGCUAUGACACCUGGGAUUCCUCUAGAAAUACAAGACCCUCGAUACAUGCUAUCAAUAUAGUAUUCAUUUACUUACUUAUUGGUUUGAUGCUACCACUGUCGGUCCUCAGCAAGGUUCCCUAACGAACGAAUGUCACACCCGAAAGUAACAAUCAACCGAUCUACUCUUUCUUAUACAUACCAAUACUGAUCUGAUCUACUCUUAUACAUAUUAAACAAGGGCAGGCUAAUCUGGUGGGCAGUUCUGGUGGCUAACAGGUACAAUCAAUAAUGAAAGUCAGCUUGGAAGCUAAUGAGCAAGGCUCGGACUACUAUGGGUGUUGUUCUAAUCCAUUGGGGCGUCUACCCAUUCUGUUACUGCUUGGUGUUAUUCCUAUAUACUACCCUAUUGUACUAUGUGUUUAUUCUUUUGGUGUUCACAUCGUCUAAGAAUUCCAAAAGGAGCCUAGGCCCUAUUGCGAAAUACAGAUGUUAGAUCACGAGCCUACGCCUGAUAGGCAUGGUUGUAAGAAGAAGAGACUGGAGUUGCGGUCUCUCCGGUAGUAGUCAAAGUCCCAGUUCCAAGUUAAUGUAGUAUCAGUAGAAUCAAAGCUAGGUUAGUAAGAUCAAUAGCCAGGAAAGGAAGAACUGGAAAGGCAUACUCACAGGUGCAAUACAUAAUGAAGUGUCAAUGGAACCAAUACGGAUUAGGUCCUCCGUAAAGUCAGAUUGAGUCUAAGGGAGGGUAGGCUAGGAUCAAGUAAGGGCAAGACCUUAUUUACAGGCUAUUUCGAAUAGGAGUUAGUGAACCACAGACUAAGGUAAGGGAUAGUUGGAACGAGAUCGAGGAACGGCAGCUUUCAAAGUCAAACUCAAAGACGGGGAGACAUAGAAUGAUAUAAAGUAUGGGCCAAGCAACGGGAUGAGUCAAGUAAGGAGGUUUCAACAGGCAAUGAGGUUAUAGGUGACUUUCCGGCUCUCUUAUAUUCGUUUUUCAAGCCAUGCAGGAUUUGACUAUGAUUAUAGGAAGUUGUACACUCAAUGAUGCUUAUAGGAAGUUGUACACUCAAUGAGAUUAUUUAGAGUAUGCUGUUGUCCUAAUGGGAGUGAAAGUGUUGGUUGUGAAGAGAGAUUCUUUCCAUGCGCCCCAUUACGAGAGACUUCAGCUAGAGAUGAAAGUACUAACUCAUCGUACUUAUGCACACUGAUCCUGCGCAAGGUAAUACAUAUAGAAUAUGACUUUAGCAAGCGCCCUGGUAGGAAGUGGAGAAGAUAGCUAAAUUCAAUGAAACUAUGUAAGUAAUAAAAUAGCAAGAGAACAAGCCAGAUAAAGAAGAAAGUAUUCCAGUAUAAUAGCAUUCGGCCCAUAUUCCAUAGUUAGGGAAAGUGAACAGUGAGUUGUGAGUUCGCCCUAUAUACGCGAUAGUGAGUUUUUUCCUUCCAGCUAACAUGUCUUUUCUUCUAGUUUCUUUCUCGUUGUUGUAACUUAAUGGCUUGUACGAAUACGUGAGAGGAAGGCUAUCUCCCUUCUAUCUAUAUUUCCUUGUCCAUAUCUCCUUAGUCGUCUAUAUCUCCUCAAUUGCUAAAGAGUCUCCAAUUCUGCUGAUGGAAGCACAAAAAAUAGAAGUGGGACACUCAUCUCCAAUGCUUCUGGAAGUUAUUCCCUCUCCCCCUUUAUCAAAGCCCUCCUCUGCUCCGGAGGGUAACAUCUUCUUAUUCUUAUAGAAUUUCAUCCACCUUAGCCCGGGUUGAGAGAAAGGCUAAAACAGGACGUGGUGAUAGUACUAGAGCAAGAAACCCUGGUGUUCUAGAGUGUUGAAUAAGUCCGGCGGUUAAUGAGCAAGUCCGUAUAGUUGCACUUUCCGAGCACCCAAACUAGACUUGGACCACACCUUGUCUAGAGUGAAGAGUCAAUAGGCAAGUAUAGUGGACUUCCCGCUCCUUCGCAUACUAAGGAGUUUCCAGGGGGUCAGUUCAAUUAAGUAGCCUGUUCAAUUAAGUAUUUGGAGUUGCCUUGUAUCACUGAUAUAGAAGACUAAACCAAUCAUAAUUUCACUCUGUAUUUGACGGUCUCAGAAUUUCACUAAGUAGUAACACCUCUGCACUAACAGUGUAGUAUACGCUUGGUUUCUCCUUUUAGAAUAGGGAGUUUCAGGCGGUUACUU
rnacentral:lncRNA from 1 species